rnacentral:lncRNA from 1 species
GAUCAAGAUGUCGUCUAGAUAACAUACCACAAAAUCGUCCAAAAACUCUCGAAAAACAUCAUUCAUUAGAUGUUGAAAAGCUGCUGGUGCAUUUGUAAGUCCAAAAGGCAUGACGUUGUAUUCAAAAUGUCCAUACCUAGUUCGAAAUGUAGUCUUCCAUUCAUCUCCUUCUUUGAUGCGUACUAGAUUGUAUGCUCCUCGAAGAUCUAUUUUUGUAUAGAUCUUAGCUUGAUUCAGUUGAUCAAAAAGUCCAGAUAUUAAAGGUAGUGGAUACCUGUUUUUGAUGAUAAUCUUGUUGAGUCCUCGAUAAUCAACACACAUCUGCAAUGAUCUAUCUUUUUUCUUCACAAAUAGAAUUGGAGCUCCUGCCGGAGAUUUAGAAUGGCAUAUGAAAUUCUUGGCUAGAUUUUCUUCAAUAUACUCCUUGAGUUCAGCCAACUCAUUUUGUGAUAAACUAUAGAUUGGUUCGAAUGGCGGUUGUGCUCAUUCUUGAAGGUCAAUUGAGCAAUCAUAGGGAUGAUGUUCCGGAAGUGUAUCUGCAUUCUUUUUUUCGAAUACAUCUUGAAAUUCUUGAUAUUGGCUUGGAAUGCCACUUGAAGUCUUUUCACUAGUAGAAAUGGAUGUAGCAUAAAUAAUGUAUGGUGAUUCUUUCAUAGCAGCAUGCAAGAAAGCUUUUGCACCUAUAAAUAUGGGUUUAAUUGAACUGGACUUAUGACUCUCUACUUGCUUAACUAUACUAUUAGUUAUACUUUCAGAGAAAGUGAGAGUUCGGGAAAUCCAGUCUAUUUGAGGGUUGUAUUUUUCUAACCACGAUAAACCUAAAAUGACUGGAUUAGAGGGAGAUCUAAUGAUAUUAAAUACUACAAAACUAUUAUGACCAUUGAUUAUUACUUCUAUAGGAAGGGUUUCGUGAGUAAUAUCUCGAGAAGACAAUGGACGACCAUCUAUGACUUCUACAUGAACAGGUUUAGUUUUCUUUACUAAAGAUAUGUAUGUCUUUUAGUAAAUUCUUCAUCUAAAAAACACGCUGAGGCUCCUGAAUCUAACAAGGCAGAGACUUUGUAAUGUUUAGGUCCUAAAAUAACAUUUAAUGUAAAACAAAGAGAGGGCUUUGAGGAGAAAAUAGGACCUUUACUAGAAGUUGUGCAAGGUUCCAGCCGCACAGUCCCUAUUGUAGCUGGACAAACUCGUUUUCCGACAUAUUAUCUUCUUUCACAGCCAUACUCCUCAUUUUGUGAUUGCGUCGUUUCUUUGGACAAUGCUGAGCAGUAUGCUUUGGUUCUCCACAAUAUAAACAUAAUCCUUCUUGACGACCACGAGUCUUUUCUUGCUCAGUAAGAGGUUUGAAACGUACUGCAUCAAUUUGCAUAUCCUCUACUUCCGAAUGUAUGUGUUGAAGAGAUGUUGGUGUUGCCAUUGAAUUAUAGUAACGUUGAGGUGCACUUGUACGGUUCUCAGAUCGGAAUUCAAAAAGGUGAUUAUCGCACUUCACAGCAAAGUCAAUUGCUUGACUCAAUGUUUGAGGAUCAAGUAAGUUGAGCAUUAAUUUUUUUACCUCAUAUUGUAAUCCGUAGAGAAAUUGGCUAAUAAGUGCAGCAUCAUCCCACUUGAUAUCAGUUGCAAGUUGUCAAAAUUGUGAAGCAUAUAACGUUACUGAUCGAUUACCUUGUCGUAAAAUACGGUCUUAUUGGUUGCAACACGAAUUGCAUCAUGUUCUCCAUACAUGGAUCAAAACUCUAUCAAAAAAGCCUCUAGAUUAUCCAAUAUUGGAUCUCGUCGUUCAAGAAAAGAUGAAAAUCACGAUAGUGCCGAACCUGAAAGAAGCGUACCAAUGAAUCUAACUUGUGAUCCUGGAGUUGGAUAGCUUUGGGGUUGAAGUUCAAUCACAAGUUGCACUUGAUUGAUAAAUCCUCGAAACUUAGAUCUGGUGCCAUCAAACUUCUCGGGUAGGGCAAUUCUUGGUUCUCUAACAUUUGAAGGGCGUUCCACCAUAGGAGAAUGGACAUGGUUUAGUGUAGAUGUUGAAGCAGCUCCAACCAUUUCUAUAUCUUCACUUCCUGCCAAUCUUGUUGCUCUUUGUAGUGGUAAAUUGAGUUGAUGCAUCGCAAGCAUUAACUCCCUCAAUUGCUCUUGAAUUUGUGCCAUUGCACUCUUCAUUUCAAGGAGUUCUGCCAUGAUAAUACUUAAAAGAGAGAAGAUGUCUAAUAUCGCUCAAGACAAAUAGAAGACAGGACUUGCAGACAAAGAAAAUACUAAGGACAAUAUCAGUUUAGAAGAGGGUAAUCCGCAACUUCUAAUACGCUUAUAUCUUAUCAAGAAAAAGGGGUAAUCCACUCUUAAUCAAGAUUAGACAAAGCUCUGAUAUUGUAGGUGUACUCUUGUCAAUCUGUCAAGGACAAGAACUCGAUGAAAAAACAAUUUAGACAAGUGAGCCUUCACUCAAAGAGAGGUAACAAAAUAUAUAUAAACAAGUAUAUAUAUUGAAAGAGAAACUGGAAUGGCUAUUGCCAAAAGACAAGAAAACUAGAGACCCUUGAAACUAGACUAGAAGCAAGAAAGGAGUUGAUAAGAGUGAAGAAGCCUUCACUCUUGUCUCUAUAUAUACUAUCUAACUAGGGACUACAUGGCGACGUUCUAUAGGACCUCCAAUAUGUGUUGACUUUGUAGGCCACAUGCCUUGACUUACAAGGCAAGUUUUUUUAUGUGUGGGCCACAUAGUUAGCUUGAUCUUCAAGCUAACAACAUAAGUGGUACAUGGCCAACUUGUUGACCACGUUUCUAAUCCAAAAAGUCAAUUAAAGACACCUAUGAAGUCAAAGCAGCAUCUAAGAAGCUUCUAAGAAGCUUCCAUAUUAAAUAUUAUAGAAUUAACUUACUUUUAUCUACUUUUACUUACUUCUACCUAUUUCUAUAUGUAAUUAUUAGCUUACAUGAUUAUAGCCGUGACAAGAACACAUAAAUCCUCAAAGAUUUAAACAAAUACAAACCAUGGCUUGAUCCCAUUGAUGAAAAAAAAUUAUCUUAUGCCAACCUUAAAUAGAAGGUAAACAAUAUAAGGAAAAGUUUACUAUACAAGGUGCACAAAGAGCUAUUCAAUUGUUAGAACUUAUACAUUCUGACAUUUGUGGUCCUAGGUAUAUAGUCACACAUUCAGGAUGUACUUACUUCAUCAUAUUUAUUAAUGAUCUAACAAGAUAUUGCCAAGUGUAUUUGAUGAAAUACAAAUCUAAAGCAUUUAAAAAAUUCACCUUAUACAAAAAAAUUAUAGAAAAACAAACAAGUUUCAAAAUCAAAAUCUUAAGAUCUGAUCAAAGAGGUGAAUAUACAUCCAAUGACUUUAAAGAUUUUUGUAAAAAAAGAAGGUAUUAAACAAGAAUAUAUUAUAGCUUAUAUACCACAAUAAAAUGGUAUUUUUGAAAAAGAAUAGAACAUUAAUAGGAGUAAUACUUGUAAUGCCAUCCUACUCAAACUUAUCUAAUUUUUUUUUGAUGUAAAGCAUUCCAAAUAGAAAAUUACCUCUAAAAUAGGAGCCUUAUAAAAUCUAUACAAGUUACCAAAAUACCAUUUGAAUUAUGGUACAAAUGACAAUCAAAUUUAUCCUAUCUUAAAAUAUUUGGUUACAAAGCUCAUAUAUUCAUUCCUAAAGAAAUAAAAAAGAAGUUAGACUCUCAUUCACAAGAGGCUAUCUUUCUAGGCUAUAGUGAAGAAUCUAAAGUCUAUAGACUUAUAAAUAUAUAAAAUCAGCAAAUUCUCAUUUCAAGAAAUAUUUUCUUUAUUGAGAAUCUAUAUAAUCCACAAACAACCACAUACUUGCAAAAGAAAAAUGAAGAACUCUUACUAUAUUUAGAAUUAUUCAAACACCCUUCAAUAACUAUAAGGACCAAUGAACAAAACAUACCUCUUAUACAAGGCUUAUUUUCUCUAUCAAUGCCACUACCAUAAGAAACACAUGUAUUUAAUCAACAACUAAUACAUAGUACUUCUUCAAAUAUGGGAAAACAAUCUCCAUCUCUUAUUGAUGUCAUAGAAGACUUCUCUCAACUAUCAUUACUAAAUGAUGAAGAGAUCUUACCUCUUGAAGAUGAUGAAGUCCAUUCUACAUUGCAAAUCCCAAAUCUUCCUUCUAGUUCUUGACCAACAAGAAUUAAUCAACCAACCACAAGAUUGUUAAAGUCUAUAUAAGGCAAAAAAGAGUAUAAACAAUAAUGUAAUUGGCAUCACCAAGCCUACCUUGUUUCUACUCAUAUAGAAGCUCCAAACUCCAUUCAAGAAGCAAUGGAGAUAGUGAUGCUCAAGAAUGGCAAAAAAUAAUCAAUACUAAAAUUACAUCCUUAAACAAGAACAAUACAUGGCAUAUGACAAAUUUAUCUUCUAAUCAAAAAUCAAUCAGUUUAAAGUAGAUUUUUAAAAUAAAAACUAAAGCUAAUAGAAGUAUUGAAAAAUAUAAAACAAGACUACUUGCAAGAAGUUUCACCUAAGUUCAAGGUAUUGAUUAAAUGGAGACAUACUCUCUUGUAGUCAAACUUAAUUCUAUCAAAGUUCUUCUUGCUUUAACCGCUCAACACAAUCUGAAAAUAUAUCAACUAGAUGUUAAAAAAAUAUUUUUAAAUGGUUUUAUAGAAAAAGACAUCUAUAUGACUAUUCUUGAAGGAUUAUCUUUUCUACAUACUAACAAGGUAUGUAAGUUAAAUAAAUCCCUAUAUGGUCUUAUACAAUCAUCUAGAGCACGGUGUCAAUAAUUAGAUCAAUAUAUAAUCCUUUACAAAUACCAAUGCCUUGAAUCAAAUACAAAUAUAUGCAUCAAAAGAGAAAAUAAUAAAGAUUUUACUAUAAUUACAAUACAUGUUGAUGACUGUAUUCUUAUCAGUAACAAGCUUUUUUUAAUUCAAUAAGUAAAAGACAUUUUCUAGCAAGAAUUUGACAUGUCCGAUGAAGGAGAAAUCCAUUACACUUUGGACAAUGUCAUACUAAGAAAUAAAAAAGUAAGAUGGAUCAUCCUCCAUCAAGCCAAAUACUUAACAAAUAAACUUAAUGAAUUCAAUAUGUUGAAUUCUAAUCCAUUAAGUACUCCAAUUCAACCAAGAAUUUAUUUAAGUAAUGAAGACUAUAUUACUUUCUAUGAUUAUCCCUAUUCUAAACUUGUUGGCAACUUAAUGUAUGCCAUUAUUAAUUCUGGAUCCCAUUGUAUUGAUGCUAUCAGUAGUUUAGCACAAUAUCUCUCUAAAUCAAGACCUAUACAUAUUCAAACUUUGAAAAGAACUAUGAGAUAUAUAAAAGGUACAUUAAGCUUUGGAAUAAAAUAUCAAUACUUACGUCAAGGUAAUAUUCUCCAUGAUUAUUUUGGUGUUGACUAGGCAAGUGAUAAAGACACCCGUGGCUCCACCUCUAGAUUUUUUUUCUUACUAGCUGGAAGAGUUAUCUCUUAGGGUAGUAAAAAAUAACAAUCUAUUGCUUUAUCCUCUACAAAUUCAGAAUACAUGGCUUUAAUAAAAACAAUAAGUAAAGCCAUAUAGUUUAGAAAAUUAUUACAUGAACAUGGAUUCCUUCAACAUGCACCAACUAUCAUAUAUUCAGAUAGUCAAAGUACUAUUGUUCUUAGUGAAAAUCCCAAAUAUCACUCUAGGAACAAACAAGUGGACACACAAUACUAUUUCACCAGAGAAAAGAUCCUUUCCAAGGAAAUCAAACUAUAAUAUAUGCCAACCACACAUAUGAGAGCAAAUAUAUUUAAAAAAUCUCUUCUCAAAGAGAAACAAUUACAAUGCCUAUCACAAUUAGGAAAAAAAUCAAACCCUUUGUAGGCCUGCUGCAUAGUUCACAAUCAAAAUCGCCAUAGGACCUGCAACAAAACUCACUAUAGAUCUUGUAGCCAAGCUUAGUGUAGAGCCCACUGUAAGGCUAGUUGCAGGACUCGCCGUUGUUAUAAUAUGUGAAGUCUUGCUUGAAAAUGCUUCGGGCACCUGGUUGUAGAAGAUAGAAUAGAAAUUGCAACAACAAAAUUCUAACCUUAAUAGAAUACUAACUAAAUUCUAAUUAGACCAUAACAAUGUUAAGCAAGCUUUAAUCAAAUUCAAAGAAACUUCAAAUAAAUUACAAAGAAACAAUAAGAAAUCUUAAAGAAAUAUUAGAAUAAUUACAAACAUAUCUCAAAUAUAUCUCAAUUCAAUCUUAAUUUAAUCCUAGUUAAAAUCCUAUAGGACUUCAUUCAAAUUUUAGACCAAAAACUAACUAAAUCUUAAAUCUUAAAUAAACCCUAAUAAAAUCCUAAAUCCUAAACCAAAUCCUAACCAAAUCCUACAUCAAAUCUUAAUCAAAUCUUAAAUCCUAAAUAAAAUCCUAACCAAAUCUUAAACCCUAAAUCAAAACCUAAUCAAAUCUUAAACCAAACCCUAAAUGCUAAAUCAAAUCCUAGUAAUUCCUAUAAUAGAUUUAAACCUCAAUUACUAAUGAAUGAAUUAUUGAUCUUAACUCAAAAUUUUUACACUUCUUAACAAUUAAGUUGACAACAAGUACAAAAUUUUUUAAAAGGAUCGGAAUUACCAAAUAGAUGAUAGCCUCAAAAACAUUCUUGGAUAUUGACUGGCCUCCUUCUCUAACCUUAAUGCCAAUCUUCCAAAGCCAAUAUCUCUCCUUUUCACCGUUCGAUUGAUUUCAAAAUUAUCAUAUACAUAAGAAAACAAGUCUAAUAUCCUCACACACAAAUUUUACUCCAAUCAAACUAAUAGAUUGCAAGAAAUCUUAAAAACCUUCAUUAGACUUAAAAUUCUAUUUUCUAAGACCUUGACCCACUUAAACCUCAAUAAUCCUCAAUUAAACUAUUAAAUCGAGCUAAUAUUCACAAUACAUAUUAAGCACAACUAUGACAAUUAAUCUACAAAAUUUUAUUUAUAGAUCUAUUACAAAACUCUUGAAAUUGCCUAAAACGUCAAUCCUAUAUUAUUUUACAAAACCCAAGUCAUCCAAAAACAAACUUGACUUUGUAAUGCUCUUACAAAAUCAUUACAAAUUCAAAUUACUCAAAACCAAUGCUUAUACAAACCUUAUUUAGUCUACUAUCAAAUCCUACUCUUUGAUCUGCAAAAGAACCUCCAUAUUGCCGUAGGUGCUUGGUUUUGUGCCUCAAGGUCUGAUUUCAAUCCAGGUUGAUAACCGGCCCUCUUUGGAUAUCAAUAUUUAGUUUUUCUAGAUAAGUUUUGCUAGAAUUUACUCUUAAAUUCCUCUUAUAGAUACUUAUAUCAUUUAUUUAUCCAAUCUAUCUUAUUUUGCCAUAUUUAUGGUUCUAUAAAGUAAAUAGAAGUCACUUUUGUAAAAAAAUAGCACUACUACUAAAAGUUUUACUACCUUCUUAUCUUUUAUCCAUGUUUUUUUACUUUAUCUUUUAACUUGGCUCUUCUAUAAUAAGAUCCAUAUUAUCAUCUUUUACCAUAUAGUCGUGUUACAACAUGACACCAUAGAGUGCCUAGCCAAGCUUAUUGGGGGACUCACCAUCAAGCUUGUUGCGGAGCCUAUUAUCUUACUUAUUAUAGAUCCCGCCAAUGGACUUGCUACAAAGCUUGUUAUCAAAGUGAUUGCAUCUAUAGCCCAUAUUACCUAGAUGCCUCCUUUAGAACUUAUUGUUAUACCUACAUUUAUAAUGCCUCCUCCAACAACAAAAUAAUAAUAAUAAAAAAAAACAAAAAAAUAAUAAUAAUAUACUAUAAUUCUUCUAAUACUUCCACUAGUAUAUUAUUCUAUAUCUUUGAAUUAAAUUUCAUCUAUAAUAAAAGUUCAUCCAUUUUCAAAAUGGAUAUGUAAAAGAAGUAUAAGAUUUCAAUUUUUUUUUGAUGUUGCAUUAUUAAAAAGUUCUGUUGUAACUAAUGUCAUGUAUAUAAUAUUAUCUACUCUAUAUUGACCUUACACCAAGAGUUGUGACUUUUGGUGUCACUCUUGAAGUAAGUAUUGAAACUAUUAUUCUUAUGCUACCAUCAUUGGCUGCAUUACAAAAAUCAACACACUUGGUUUGCUUGCGCUUUUUGUUGGAAUUGAAUAUCCUAAAUUUUUAGCUUUGAACUUCUGCAAGGUUUACAAUAGACAAGUUUGUAGAAAGUCAUAUUUUUUGACAUGAUUUUUUUUACUAACUCACUUUGAUAUGUUUAUUAAUAGUAGUUGGCAUGUGAUGUUUACAAUGAAGUAUUCAUGAUUGAUUGUUUGAUUUAAAAGCUUUUAUAUUUUAAACAAAGUCUUCAAUUGCUUGUAGCUAUUCUUACUCCCAUGCAGCUGUUGUUGGAACUAGUUGCAUCUGAGUCAUUAUAAUAGUUUGAAUUGAGCCUAACUACUGGAAAACAAUCCAUUAUAUGCUUCAAGUAUAUUCAGGUUCUAUAGCUCUCUACUCUCUCUCUACUUCUAAAUUUUAUUUGUCUUUUCUUUCAAUAUAUAACAUGUAUAUUGGAUACAACAUUAUAUAUUAAUAUGAUCAAUUGAUAUACAAUAUAUUGUGUAUACAAGGGUAAUACCAAGGGUGACAUAGAGGCAGAAUUUGAAGGAGUCUUUGAGAUAGAAGACAGCAUAAGAAUCUUAUUGUGAUCCACCAAAAGAUUUGGCUUUCUAUUAUAGGAUCUAUAAUCAAUUUAGACCUUUGAUUAGUUGUAUUGUAUUCUAGACUAUGUCUGUUUUGCUAUUAACAUAGAGUUGUAGCUUCACCAUAUUCAAUAUUGAGUACGACUGUUGUCAUGGUUCAGUAUGGAGAUGUGGAUCUAAUAUCCAAGAUUGCUGAAUAUUCAUUACAUCUAUAAACACAAGACUCAUCGAACUAUGAAGAAUUAGUUAGAUAGGAUUUGUUUACAUGUAUCCUAGUGUAUCUUCUACCUUUAUAUCUUCUCACUUUGCUUGUUUGAAUAUAUAUAUAUAUAUAUAUAUAUAUAUAUAUAUAUAUAUAUAUAUCUAUAUACAUAUAUGGUUAUAUUAAUAUAAAAAUUUAUUUAUUUAUAUUAAUAUGCAUGUAACACAUGAUUUAUUAUAAUUUCUAAUGUCUAUUACAAUAACAAAAAAAAACUCCAAUAAUGCAUCAUUUUAUAUUAUUUUAUGAAACUUUAUUUAUAUUUAGAUCAUUUUAUAAUUAAAUUUUAAUUGAUGUAGAGUAUUAAAAAUCUAAAUAAUUUAUUAAAUUAAUUAAUAAAUCUUUAAUUUACUAAAAAUAAAUUGAUUACGACUUAAUUUUAUAAGAAAAGAAUUAUUUAAAAUAUAGUCUAAAACAUUAGAUAGUCAUUUGACUAUAGUCUUGGUUAAACUAAUUUAUCUUAAAUGUGAAAUGGUUUAUUAACUAAUAAGUUAAGUUUUUUCAAAUUUGAAAUUAAAUUGAUGCUUAAUUAUUCUUAUUUUUAUUUUAUUUUAUAAUUUUAUAUUUUUAAUAUAUUUAAAGUUGAUUAUUAUUUUAAUAGAUCUAAAGUUGAUUAUUAUUUUAAUAUAAGUUAAUUAAAAAUAUACAUCUUUUCUUCUCAUCAACAUGUUAAUAUUCAAAAACUAAUAACAUCAUAUUCGUAUAAUUUUUUAUAUGUCAAACAAUGAUAUUCUAAUAUUUCUAUACUGUAAAUCAAAAAAAUUUUAAUCAUAGAUUUAACGAGCAAAAAAAAAUCUUUCAAGUUAAUAUAUAAAAGUCUUUUACAAUUUUUUUAUGAAAUGCAAGAUAAGAAAUUUAAACCAAAUUUUUAUUAAUAAAUGAAAUUUUUGAUGAUUUUAAUAGAAAAAGAUAAUAAUAUUAGGUUAAUUACACUAGGUUUUUUAUGUUAAAAGCAUUGAUAAAAAUUAUUUUGAAAAAAAUAAUCUCUUAAUUUAUUUAAUAAUAAGGUAUUUAUAAAUUUCUAUUAGAUUCGGUUUUUUUUUUUUUAUAAUAAAUAAGAGUUGCAAGACAAAAAAAAGACCACAUCUAAUAUCUAUGGUUUUUGAGGAUCAAUAUUGUGGCUCAUUGUGCAUGCAUUUGCCUAGCAAUAAACAAACUUAGUGAAAAAUCUUAGAUCUAAAAGAAUUUUGCUUCAAUUAGAUUUUUUUUUCUUUUUUUUGAUUAUUUUUAUUUUUUUAAGAACUCUAGUUUAUAAAAAAUGGUUGUUUUAGAGAUGUUAUUAUACACAAAGGAAUCCAAAAGGCACUUUAGAGCCACACCCAUAAUGAACACAUGCAAAAAAACAAAUACAACUUUUAACAAACUAAAAUUGACAAUAGACUUAAACAAGGAGUGAAAGGUUUUACUAACUUUUGAUCUUUAUCAACAUAAUGAGAGUUUGUACUUGACUUAACAAAUUCAAGGUGAAUCUCUUCCUAACGGUUUUUAUAGGAGUUAUGCUUGCUUUAUAUUAUGCAAAAAAAUCUCAUGAAAUCCAAGAGAAUGAAGAGCUAGUUUGAAACUAAGUGGAUAAAUUAUGCAGCCAAAUUAUAAUAAUAUGCUUUGUAAGAAGCAUACCAAAAGAUAUAUACUUCAAAUCAUUAAAGGUAGUUUUUAAAUUUGAAUUAAGAAGCAUUAUUAUUUUUAGAUUUUUUUAAGAUUUUGAUAUUUAUAUUUAGAAACCAACUCAAAUAAAUCUACUUAAAUUUUUUUAAUAUUUUCAUUAUUCAAAUGAAUAUAUAUAUAUAUAUAUAUAUAUAUAUAUAUUACAAUCUUAGAAUUUGCACUUUCAUCUAAGAGUAAUUUCAAAUCUAGAUAGCCAUUUUUAUGCAAGUUUUUUUAAGUUACCAACAUAAAUUACACAAAAUAUAUGUCAAAAGAAUUCUUUUAUGUUGUUCUAUAGGUUGUAGUUGGAUGAGAAAAUAUCUUUGAUAAUAGCUUAAAAAAUGAAUCUUAUUAGAUCCUCAAUCUUGUAUUGAAUUGGUGGCAAGUUUGCAACAGGAACUUCAAGUAAAGAUACAUAAUUUUAUAUUUAAUAUAAAGAAGUCAAUAUUCUUUGAUUAUAUUAAUCUUCUAGUGUAUUGCAACUUUUGCCUAUCCAUAGAUCAUAGAACCAAAGAUUGUAUAGGAUUAGCUAAGAUAAAUUCUAAAAAAUGAGUAGUUAAUAUUAAAAAUGGUAUUAAGCUUGAGAAGAAAAAAAAACAAGACCAAUAUUGAAUUUGAUAAGAAAAAAUACAAGAUGUGCUUGUAAAUGAUUAAUACAACUUUGAUAUAAGAUAUGCAUUUUUAUUUUUAUUUUUUUUAGUUUUUAUAAAAUUUUUAUUCUAUUGAAAAUAAUGAAUUCAUUUUAGUUUAAUAUAAAUGUAAUAAAUUUGGAUUAAAGAACAUAAAAUUAUAAGUCAAAAUUCAUACAAAAAUUAAUAAGACAAUCCUUCUUAAUUUUAGAUCUAUCUAUGUAAUAGCAAAAAAUUAUUAACAUCCAAUUAAUAGAAAUGAGAGUACUUUAUAAUUAUUAUAAUUAUCUAAUUUACACUUGAAUAUGAUAUUUUUUUUAAAAUCAAGCUGGAUAUAUUGCAAUAUACAAGCCAUAAGAUUGUCACCAUUAAGACAUUCAAAUCAAUGUGAGAAGCAAGUUGAUAAGAAAUAAAUUAAUGUUGGAUUAAUUGUAGGAUCUAUAAUCAUGGCCAAAGGCAAAUCUAUGUUAUUAAUCAAAGCCACACAUACAACACUCAAUAAAAACAUAUUAGAAUCAAAGAUCAAGGCAAUACAAAAAUAGACUCAAUAUAUAGAUUUAUAACAAUCAAAGAUUUCAUCUAAAUAGAAUAUGAUCUAUUAAAUAGUUACAUGAUUCAAAACAAUAAAACUAAUCAAAUAAAUAUAUAAUAUUAUAUGAUUCAAUAAUAGAUUAUAUUAUAAACUAAGUUAUAAUUACUUAAGUUAAAUAGAAAUGAAUAUAUAAAGAAAUGAAUGCAAUUUAUACUAUUAAAAAAAGUGAUGGUAGCACAGAAUAGUAAUAAGACCUUAGAAGCAUCUUGCACAAUACCUUCUACAAUACCUUACAAAUAGAGCAAAAAACUCGUAAGUAUGACAAUGAUAGUAUAAGAAGUUUGCUACCAAAUAACUCUUGUAGUUUAAAAAUUAAGGUGUUAGAACUAUGGACUUGAUUCAAAAUCUAAAUUAAGUAUCAAUUUUAGUUUAGAACUAAGCCUAACAAAGACUUAUUAUUUAUGAAUUACAUGUUUUAAGUCUUGAUAAAAUAUACCAUUAUAUUAAUAGAGUGGAUAAUUAUACAAUACAUGCUUUUUUAUCAUCAAAAUCUUUACUAAUAUUGUAUCAAGUGUCAUAUGCUAAAAAAAAAUAUUUUAUUAAUUUAAAAUUACAACACACUUUGUUUACAAAUAAAACAUGGAUAUCAACUUGAUAUUCUAUUUUAUAAGUAUAAGAUGGACUUGCAAGGCUUAAUACUUUAAAUUUGGUAAGUAUAAAUCUAUUAGAUCAUAGCAGGCAAAUUGGAUAUAAUAUCUAGUCCAACACUCUCAAUCUAGUAGAUAUAGAUCUAUUGGAUCAUAGGAUAUAAUUUGGAUUUUAUUUUUAGAAUGACAUUCUUGAUCCAAUAUGUAUGUAUGUAUCAAAUUAUGAAGGUAAGGUGGAUAUUAACCCUUGUCAAGUCAAGCAUCAAAGUAACUUACAAUCAACUCAGAUUCUAUCCUUGACUAUGCUUAUAAGUGAUAUGUUCAAUAUAGCCUCCUAUAGAACCAAUUUAUUUUUGAAAAAUACAAGUACUCAAGUUCAAGAACAUUAGCCUAUUAUAUUGGAUACAAGUAUAGAAAUAGUUGCACUAAUAGAUUGUAGUACAUUCUCAUUUAUUAGUUCUAAGGAUGUCUAAUCCUUCUAUUCUAGAGGCUACAUAGAUUAAUUUAAUACUACAAGGUUCUUAUUUAGAAAUACAAUCUCAUUCCAAUUUAAACUUUUUCCUUGCAUCUAAAUAAGAUGCUUUUAAAAUGGCCAAAAAAAAUUUCUUAGAUUUGGCUUAAUAAGAAAAAAGAAUAAACUUAUUUUUUUAUAUAAAAUCAAUGAUAAUGGAUGUAAAAAGUUUCUUCAUAAACAUGCAAGCUUCCAUCUUUACUUAUUAUUUAAUUUUAUUAAUAUAAAUUUUAAAAUUUAAAUUAAUAUUUUUUCUCCAAAUACUUUAUAAAUUUAAAAAAUAUUUAUUUCAUAAUAUAAAGGAUAAAAAUAAUCUCUCUUCUUCAAAGUCUCAAAGCUUUGUAAUAAUUCACAAAGUAUUAUUUUAAAAUUUUAUAGCAUUCUUCUCUAGGAAUACAAAUUAUGUGACUCUAAAUCUUAAAAAUUAAAUAAUUAUUUGUAGCCUAAUGCAUGAUUUUAUAUCUUAGAAGUAUCCUCAAGAUACACACUUAAGUUCAAUGGUGCUGAUGAAGGAAAAAGGGAGAUUUAUAUACUUAAUUCUCUAAAUAUUAAAUAUAUAGGUAGUAAUUUAGGUUCCUUCAUUUAUAAUCUAGGAAUUAUAUAGGAAUUAUAAACAUCUAUGCAUCCAACAAAAAAAUAUAUAUAUAUAUAUUAAUUGUAAGAGGAUUUAGUAAAAAUAUUAUAUUCUAAUAUUCUAUUUAUAUUUGGUAGAGGUUGAAAUAUGGUAGUGAGGAUUUGGAAUAAAUCAUCAUUUUGUAAGAGAUUAUUAUCUAAAAAUGAUUUAUCAUUAUUUUUUAUAAAAAAAAAACUUUAAAAUAAAAUUUUUAUUAAAUUAUCUUUUGAACAAUAAAAGAAAUGAUCAAUGAAUCCUUGCAAGGUUAGAAAGAUUUUAUUUAAUUUUUUAAAAAUAAAAUAUCAAAAUCACAAAUAUUAUAUUAGAUGUAAUUGUCUAUUAUCAAAUCACCUUCUUGUUGAAUUUAUUUAUUAGCUAUAAAAAUCUAAUUCUAAAUCUUUUAAUUUUAAAAAUAAAUAAAUAAAUAAAUAAAAAUAUUUGAGCAAGUGUUACAGACAGAGAAAUACAGACUUGAGAUCUAAUAAGAAGUUCAAGAAGAACUGGCAAGAACUAGAUUAAUCAGAUGAAUACAAGAACAACACCAGAGAGGUGAGCUAGAGCUCCAAGAGAUGUGUUGUCGAGACUGAAGAACUCUUCAGCCUCGAUUCCAAUAUAUACUCCUAUUUAGGAAGCUUCUCAAGCAACUUCUACUAACUAGGAAGCUUCUAGAAGGUUUCAGAGACUUGCUUCUAGAAGGUUCUAGAAACUUGCCUCUAGAAGGUUCUAAGGACUACGUCGCUAACAUCUUCUACCAACUAUGAAGCUUCUAGAAGGUUCCAGAGACUUGCUUCUAGAAGGUUCUAGAAACUUGUCUCUAGAAAGUUCAAAAGACUAUGUCCCUAAUAUCACCUCCUUUAGCUUCGAGGUUUCUAAGAAGCAAUGUUGUUAUUAAUCAGUACCAAUACAAGAAAAUGAAGAUCUGUUGCAUAACGUCUGCUAUGAACUCCAACUAUUGUUCACGAGGCAAGUGGUUCAUUGGCCCUUGAAGCCAACGGUAGUGGCCUACGCCUUCGACUUCUGACCAAGCAUGAACUUUCGUGUCCUCAUUGUGAAAUUGUCUUGCAAACACGCCUUCUAGCUGACCAUCGUAAGCAGGCUCGAAUUCAAAUACAAUCACCAAUGAUCGUUUACUCGGUAUCCUCCAUCGUCAUCGUGGUGUAGGCAGUUCUUCAUUUCGGGGUCGCCUUCAUGAGCUAGUUGGUUGAGAUAAUCUGAUUGGCAUAGUAUCUAUCUCUUGGCUAUCUAUAUCAGAAGACCAAACUAUGGCUACUGAAAAAAUUCUACUUUAUCUUAGAGAAAAUAACUACAUCAACUACAAAUUUUGGUGGUGCUUUCUCCCUUUCUUAUAUUCUUGGCUGAGCAAGCUUCAGAAGGAAGCUAUCGUCGAACCGGCUUAGGUUUAUGAGGAUGUUGUUGAUGAAACUCCUGUAUCUUUUGCAGCGCAUUGGCAAGAUUUUCAGUUGGUUUCCACGUUCGCUCAUUAAUGUCGUAGGCGCAUCAAUGAAUAAGAUAUUCUAAUUUGUUCUACCUUCGCCGUGAAUCUAGUACCUUUUCAACCUUGUAUUCCGUGUGGUUCUCGAUCUCAAUAUUAGGUGGCAGACAUUGCACUCUUCCAAGAAAAGACGACUCUCGAUAAGGCUCCAACAAAGAAACAUGAAAGACUGGAUGUACCUUCAUAGAAGCCGGUAAUUCCAGACGAUACGCCACUAGAUUGAUUUGCUUCUGGAUGAUAAAUGGUCCCAAUAUUCGAUAGUCCAACUUAUCACAUAGUUACUUGGUCUUGAUAUUCCGUCGAAGAAGCCAUGUUUUAUCUCCAAUUUUGAAAGUAGGUGCUUGAUUCCGAAAUCUAUCUGUACAUGCCUUAUAGGAUUCUUGAGCGGAUUGUAAUUGAAGCUUCAAUGUAUUUUGAAGCUCUGAUAGUUGUUUCGCAAAUCUUUCAGCUGUUUGAUUGUUAUUUGUUGACGGACUCAAUAAAUCAAGCUUCGGAUGAUAUCCAUAGUUGGAAAAGAAUGGUGUGUAUUGAAUCGACACAUAAAGGGUGUUGUUAUAUGCAAACUCAGCUAGCAGCAGAUAUGUGGUCCAAUUGUCUUGCUGAUAGUUGAUGCUGCAUCAUAAGUAUUGUUCCAAGACUUGGUUCACCCGUUCCGUUUGGCCGUCAGUUUGAGGAUGAAAAGCCGAAGGAAGCUUGAUAUCCACCUUCAGUAUCUCAAAGAGAGAUCUCCAAAACUUUGAUAUGAACUGGGUUCCUCGAUCUGAUAUGAUAUCAUCUGGUAGUCCAUGAUAUCGAUACACAUUAUCGAGAAAGAGUUUGCUGUGAAUUCACUGGACGAUGUCUUCUUGCAAGAGACAAAGUGUGCCAUCUUUGUAAGCCGAUCUACCACGACAAAGAUGCUGUCAAAUGAGUUCGAUGAUGGCAGGUCCGUAAUGAAGUCCAUGGAAACUGAAGACCAUCAUUGGCGUGGAAUCAACAAUGGAUGUAGAAGUGCGUAAGGGCGAUGUCAAGGAUUCUUGGAUCUUGAAUAGAUGUCGCAAGAGAGGACAAAAUCUUUCACAUCCUUCCACAUUUGGGGCCACCAAAAAUCUCGAGAUAUAAGCUCCAAGGUCUUGUUGAAUCCAAAAUGUCCCGCAUCUGGAAAAUUGUGGCGAGAUUGAAGAACUCGGAGUCGAGCUGGUCCUUUUGGGAUAUACAACCUCUCUUCAAAGUAUAAAAGAUCUCCCUCUACCUUGAACUUGUCGUCAUUGGUACGCUCCUUGAUAUCAAUGGCUACUCAAUCUUCAAUGGUCAUGGUACAUACCCGAUUCAGGAAGUCAGCAUCAAUUGGUACAAUAGUAGCGCAAAGCCGAAAUUGCUCUGGCUUCAACAACGUCAUACAUUGUUGAUCAAACGCUGCUUCUCCAGCCUUUGGUACAAGAUACGAUCUCCUCGAUAAGGCAUCAGAUAGUCCUUGCUGCUUUCCAAGUCGAUAAGUGAUAACAAAAUCGAACCUAAAUAGCGACAUACUCCACCGAACUUGACGUCAAUUUAGAACUCGAGCCAACAUGAAAUACUCCAAAUUCUUAUGAUUUGUGUAUACGGUCACUGGGGUGCAACUCCUUCAAGAAAAUGACACUAUUCUUGGAAAGAAUCUACUAUAGCAAGAAGUUCCUUAUCAUAGAUCUCAUAAUUGAUUUCAAUAGUAGAGAACUUUCGAGAAUAGAAUGCAACCAGAUGGAGCUUCUUAUCUUCUCCCAUUUGUAAAAGUACAACUCCCAAAGCAAAAUCCAAAGCAUCAGUUUCUAAAUAAAAGGCCUUUGUAAAGUAUGGAUGUACCAAAAUUGAAGCCGUAGUAAAUGCGGUCUUCAGGGCUUGAAACGCCUUCUCCGCUAGAGGUCCCCAUUCCAGCUUAUCCUUGCAUGUCAACCGAGUGAGAGGAGCAGUAACUUGAGAGUAAUUCUUGAUGAAGAUCCGAUAGAAGUUGGCAAAAUCAAGAAAGCAUUGUACGUCUCUAAUCAUCUUCGGAACCUCCCAGGACACGAUUGCUUCCACUUUCUUGAAAUCCAUCUUCAAGCCUUCCGUAGUCGCAACGAACCCCAAAAACUCUAUGUCUAUUUGGUGAAAUAAACACUUCUCUAACUUGGCAUAUAGUCCUCGCUCGCGUAGUUUCUCCAAGACCAAACGAACGUGCUUUUCAUGUUCUUCUUCAUUUUUGGAAAAUAUUAGAAUAUCAUCUAAAUAGAUGACAACAAAAUUGUCAAGGUGCUCUCGAAAAAUAUCAUUCAUCAUAUAUUGAAAGACCGUUGGAGCAUUGGUAAGACCAAAGGGCAUGACAUUAUAUUCAAAAUGGCCAUACCUUGUACAGAAUACUGUCUUCCACUCAUCUCCUUCUUUGAUUCGUAUGAGGUUGUAAGCUCCCUUUAGAUCAAUUUUUGUAAAGAUCCUUGCACGUUCAAGUUGUUCUAAGAAACUUGAAAUCAAGGGUAACGGGUAACGAUUCUUCUUUGUUAUCUUGUUGAGGCCUCGAUAGUCCAUGCACAUCUGCAACGAGCCAUCUUUCUUCUUCACAAAUAAGAUGGGUGCUCCAGUUGACGAUUUUGAAUGACAGAUGAAGUUCUUGGCUAGAUUCUCGUCGAUGUACUUCCGCAACUCCACCAACUCCAUCUGCGAUAGAUUGUAGAUUGGGCCAAAAGGCGGUUGUGCUCCUUCCUGUAAGUCUAUGGGGCAAUCAUAUGGUCGGUGUUCCGGUAGCAUGUCAGCAUUCUUUUUUUGAAACACGUCUUUAAAAUCCUUAUAUUGCUCAAGUAUACUUGUUGUCGAGAUCUUCUCCCUGGUAGUUGGAGCCGCAUAAAUGACAAACGGUGUGUCUUCUUUAGAUAAUCUUAUAAACGCUCUUACUCCAAUGAAUAAGGAUUUCUUUAUUCGGGAUUUUGUACUAGGCUUGCUCUUGGGUGGUUUUGUGGAAAAGGUCAUCUUUCAAAACCUCCAAUCUAUGGAUGGGUUAUGCUUUUCCAACCAGGAAAGACCAAAAAUAACAGGAUUUGAUGGGGUUCUAAUAAUAUUGAAAAUAAUAUGACUACCAUAGCCCUUAAACGUCACUUCUAUAGGUUCUGAUUCAUGGGUGACACUACCAGACAAUAAAGAUCGCCCAUCUAUGACCUCCAUGUGAACAGGUUUGGAUUUUUGUACUAAAAGGAUCUUAUGAUGCUUCGCAAAUUCUUCAUCUAAGAAACAAUCAGAUGCUCUUGAAUCUAAUAAUGCUAAGGUUUUUAGUUUCUGAGGGCCAAUAAGUAAAAGGAUUGUAAAGCAAAGGACAGGUUGAGCGGAAAGAAAGGAACCUGGUUGUUGUUGCAAUAUUUCACUGUCCAGCCGCACGGUUCCUAUUAUGGCUGGGCAUCCUCGUUUUCCUGAACAAACGCACCCCUAGUCCUGACAAUACAUCGAUUUUGCUUCUUGGGGCAGUUUUCAACUUUGUGGCCUUCCUCACCACAAUACAAGCAUAGACCUUCCUCCAUACGCCGCUUUUUUUCUUCUAGAAUAAGGGAUUUAACACGUACCGCAUCAAUUUACAUAUCUUCUAUCUCUAAAUGUAAAUUCACGCUGCUUACCGACAUAGUUGGGAUGUGGCGAACUGUAUGUUGUCUUAAACGUUGGUCUUGGCGGCGUUGGAAUAGGCGAUUAUCGCACUUCACAGCUUGACUAAUAGCUUUGUUGAACGUUUGCGGAUUAAGAAGAGUUAACAGUAAAUCCUUCACAUCGUCCCUUAAACUCCAAUAGAAUUGACUCAUCAACGCUUCUUCAUCCCAAUUGAUGUCACAUGCUAAUUGCCUAAAGUCCGAUGCAUAGACUGAUGUAGAGUGCAAUCCUUGUCGUAGUGACCGAAUCUUUGUUGUAGCCUAUCGAACCUUGUCGUAUUCACCAAAUGCUUCCGCAAACGCCUCCAAAAAGGUUUCAAAGUUGUAUAGUAUGGACGAUCGUUUCUCAAACAAAGGAACAAACCAUGAUAGAGCUUGCCUUGUAAGUAAGGUUUCAACAAGCUCAAGACGUAACUCCUCCGUUGGAUAGCGUUCGGGCUGUAAAACUAUUAUCAACCUGAUUUGGUUGACGAAUCCUUGAAACUUGGAAUACGUACCAUCGAACUUGUCCGGAAGGCUAACUCGGGACUCCUUAUGUUGUAGAACCAGUGGUGCUUGUCGAACCUGAGACAAAGUUGCUUCUCCAAGUAUAGAAGUUUGAGGCUGAUGCAACCUAGAUUGUGUCAUUCCAUAUGCUCCAUCAUUAUGAAGCCUUGCCACGACUCCUUCAAUCUCUGCAGUUCUUUGUGAUAACGUAGCGAGGGCAUUCAUGAUAGCAUCCAACUUGGACUCCGAACUUUUCGUCAUACUAAUGUCUUGGCCUCCGGCCAUUCUAUUAGAAGGACAGAAAUGACUCUACAAGAAGACAAUAUUGGUUUAGAGGAGGAUACUCCGCAACCUCUAAAAUGCCUUAAGAGCUUCAAGAAAAGGAGUAAUCCACUCUCUCCAAGAAGAAUAAGACUCCAAUAUUGUAACAAAAGAAGUAUCAGUUUAGAGGAGGGCAAUCCACAACCUCUAAAAUGCUAGUAUACUUCCAAGCAGAGGGGUAAUCCACACUCUAACAAAGAAGAAACUAGCUCUGAUAUCUGAGGUGAGUGCAGUCUCGACAAACUGUCACGGACACAGAAAUACAGACUUGAGAUCUAACAAGAAGUUCAAGAAGAACUGGCAAGAACUAGAUUAAUCUGAUGAAUAUAAGAACAACACCAGAGAGGUGAGCUAGAGCUCCAAGAGAUGUGUUGUCGAGAUUGAAGAACUCUUCAGCCUCGAUUCCAAUGUAUACUCCUAUUAAAAAAGCUUCUCAAGCAACUUCUACUAACUAGGAAGCUUCUAGAAGGUUCCAGAGACUUGCUUCUAGAAGGUUCUAGAAACUUAUCUCUAAAAAGUUCUAAGGACUAUGUUCCUAACAAUAAGCAUUAGGUUCUUCAAUGAAUUUAAAAAAUAUGGUUUUAAUAUAACACGUAAACUUUUCUUUGUUGUAUACAAUUUUUUAUACAAUUUUACAAGUUAUUUUGCAAAAAAUAAGCAUUUAUGUAAAUAAGACAUCACAUUGAAUUCUACAAGCAAUAACAUAAGGCAUAUUUUUUCAUUCAUGCAAAUCCUCAAGACAUUAGUCUUUAAGCUCAUAUUAAAAAAAUUAUAUAUUUCUUAACCAACUUAAAAAUUGGUAGAAAAUAUAUAUAUAUAUUUAUAUAUUUAAAUUAAAUAAAGAUAAAAAAUAGUAUUCAUAAAGCUUUUUAUGUUGAAUUUGAAAAUAUUCAUCUUUAAUCCAAUAUAAAAAAAUUCCAAAAUUUUCAAAGUAAGUUAUAAAGUAAUCCUUAAGAUGCAUAGCAUUAUCCAAAGACAUAUUAUUUUUUUGCACAAAAGAGAUGAAAAAUAAUGUUGGACAACUAAAUACACCAUAUUUAGUUAAUUCACAAGCGAAUUUACUUUGAUAUUUUCUUAAAUACACAUGAUGUUGGUAAAAUUUCUAUUAAUCAAAUGGCACAAAAAUUAGAAUAUAUAUAUGUUAAUAAAAUAAAUGUGAAAAAUUAAGCCAUUAUUACAAAUAAUACUUUAUUUUUCUUAUUAUAUUUUUUUAUUCAUAUUUAUUAGUUAUAUAAAAGCUAUUAAAAAAAUUAAAUUGAUGGUUAAAAAAAAUUUUUGGAGAAACAUAACUUCAUUAAUCCAAUCUAAAGUAAUAUAAGCAGUUUGUUAUAAAGCUCAAAUAAAAGAAGGCUUUGAUCUAAAAAAAACUACUAAUGUUUUUUUGUCCAAAUGAAUGUAAGUGGUUCUUCAAUCAAGACAAACAAAUAUUCAACAAUUUUUAUAUAUAUAUCAAAAGAUAAAUGCUAAACCUAUGGCUUAUGGAACUUAAAUGAUGGAUUUCAUAGAAAUUAAAAUAAAAUAAAACAAUGUAGGCAUUGAAUCUAAAACCUUCUAUUUUGAUAAAAAAAACUUUUUCUUGAACAAGACUUAAAAGACAAUAAGAAUUAAGUAGAAGGUUUCUUGAAAUUUCUUACAAUUUUUUCAAAACAAAAUCAACAAGAAAAGAAGCUUUUGGCAUUGAUUUUUCUAUAAUUAAAUUAAUAAAUUAAUAUUUGAUCUUUUAUCAUAUUCUUAGGUUAUCACUAAAGAAUUUAUGAUAUAUAUUAUUAAAAUUAGUAAAAAUUUACAUCAAAGCAAUAGCUUUGCUACUAAUUUAGUAUCACAAAAAUAAAAUAUUUUUUUUGGUCAAGACUCUUAGUUCAUUAGAUAGACACUUAAUUCAACUCUUAUUUUUAUAAAGAGGUUCUAUUCAUUUAGCUUAUAUGACACAAAGGUAUAGAAAUUAAAUACUUAGAAGAGGAAAAAAAAAAAAAAAAAAAAAACUAAUAUUGAUAUUCAUUGAUAUAUGUAUCAACUCAAAAGGCUUGAAUCUAUUCUCCACUAGUUGUAGAAUUGUCAUUAAAUUACAUUUGUUACAUUUAGAAUUGGACCACUUUUCUUAUAUACAAAGUAACAUCUAAUUAGAUUCCUUAUAAAUUUUUUAUUUAGCAACAAGUAAUUUUUAUAGAUAUUCUUCUAAUUAGAUUCAUAUAAUUUUAUAAGAUCUUGUCCGUAUUUUAAAAAAAAACUUUAUUUAUAUAUUAUUUAGAUUUAAAAAUAUAUAACUUUAAAAAUAAAUUAUAUUAUAUAUUUUAUAUUAAAAACAUAAUUUAAAAAGGUCUUCUUGAAUAUAAAAAAAUAUAUUGGAAAUUUGUCAAAAAUAAAUUAGCAAAACAUCUCUUAUAUGAGUCUUUUUUAUUCAAGAGAUAGAAUAAUUUUUAGAUGAAUAAACACAUAAGUGGUUCUUGAAGUAAAAUAGUAAUUAAAUAGUAUUCUAGAAUAUCUUAGUGUAAUGCGAUCAUACACAAAAGUAUAAACAAGUUAUCCUUCAUUGUUGUUCUAAAUUAUUAUUGCUUUUAGCUUUGCUCUUUAAUAUAAGAAAUUAAGUAAUCUAUUUUAUAUUCUUUACUCCACUGAUGUAUUAGGUAUAUCUUAUUUUUAUAUCAAAUAUAUAUAUAUAUAUAUAUAUAUAUAUAUCCAUAUUCUAUUUUUUGUAUAAGUAUCAUUUUUAAAAUAUAUAAGAAGUGCAAUUUCAAUUGCUUUAUUAUUAUUAUUAUUAUUAUUAUUAUUAUUAUUCUAUAUAUUAUUUUUUAAGAUUAUAUUAAAAUUGAUUAAUAAACAAGUUAAGACUACUUUCUAUUAAAUACAUCUAAAAUUAUGUAAUAAAAUUUAAUAUUGAUUAUAUAUUGAAUUAAAAAUGAAUAAAUAUUAAAAAAAUAUAUUUGAAUCUAAAUAAUUCUUAUAUUUUUGUUAUUACUUAAGCACAUUAAAAUUAAUUUUAACCAUUUUAAUCGAGUCUAAUUUUCAUACAAAGAUUUAAAUAAACAUAUUUUUUAAUAUCUUAGACAUAUUAUUUUUUUAAUUUUACUUUUAAUAUAUAUUUUAUUAUAAAUUAAUUUUCAACCUCAAUAAAGAUUAUUGAAUCUUGUACAAUUUUCAAUGUAAUAGAAUUUAAUAAUCUAAACCUAUUAAUAUUUAAAAAUCCAUCUAUAUUUUGAUAUUUUAGUCUACAUAUAAGUUUUUACAUUUAAAUUUAUUUAUUCUAUUAUCUCUUUAUUUUUAUUUUUUCUUUUAAAAUUUCUUAUUCUUUCACCAAUUAUAUAUAAAUAUAUUUUAUUUUUAAAAACUUAUUUAAAUUCAUUUUUAUGACAAAAUAAUAAUUCAACACAAUUAUAAAUCUACUGCAAUAUAAGAGACUUUUUACAACUUUGCAAUCAUACUUGGUAUCACUUUGCAUUGUUUAAGAAUAUCAAGUCUAAAUAUACCAUAAUCAAAAUUUGAUUCAAGUAUAAAGAUGUAUUUGAAAUUUCUUUGCAUAUUUUUAAAGCACAAGAAUUAAGUAGAUAUUUUAAAAUUGACCAAUAUAAAUGUUUAUAUUUUUUAAUCUUUCAAAUAUUCUUUUUUAAGUUAUAUAUACCUACACAAUAUCAAGCAAUAACUAAUUAUAUAUCGUGUUGUUAAUACAACCAUUCAUAUAUUAAUACUUUACUAUACUAUGCAAGAAAAAUUAUCUCAUGAAUUAUAAGUACUAAAUUUAAUAUUCAAAUACUACUAUUCAAAUAAUAAAAUAUAUACUAAAAAUAUACCAUUCCAAUAUAUGUAAUUAAUUCUACUAGAUUUUAUUAUUACUAGAUUUAAAAAUAAUAAAUUUUUAAAAACUUUAACUAAAUGAAAAGAUAUCAUUUAAAACAUUAUAAUUUUGAUUAUACCUAUAUAGAUAAAAAAAAAAAAAAAGUUAUUGAGAUAAAGAUAGGACUUUCUAUUAUUGAUCAAAGUAUGUAUAUUACAAGCAAACUUGAUAGGAUUUUAAUUAAUAUUAUUUUUUAAGAAUUAGAAUACAUACAGACUUUGUAAGGAUUUUGCAAAGUUUGAGUUUUUUUGGAUGAUUCUCUUUUGUAUUGAAUAAAAAAGAGGUUGUAUUUUUGUAAAUUGUAUAAGUUUUGCAACAUAUCUAUAAGUGAAAUAUUUUUAAGUGAAAUAUUGUAGGCUUGUGUCAAGAAGAAGAACUUAAAAAUAUAAAUAAUCAAGUGAGACAUUUUUUAAAGACAUGUAAUUAUAUAUAUAUAAUUAUAUAUUAUAUAUAAAAUAAAAUAAAAUAACUAUUGUCAAAGACUAAAAAACUAAACUAAAAGCAAGAAAAGAGUUGAAAAGAAUAAUAAAAGCUUGGCUCUUCCAUCUAUAUAUACUAUCUAACUAAGAGCUACAUGUCAAUAUUCUAUAAGAUCUACAAUACAUGUCCAACUUAUAGGACUCAUGUCUAAUUUGCACAACAAGUUUCCAAUAUGUGUACUAUAUAUUCAACUAGUACCACAAGUUACUAAUAUGUGCAAUAUAAGGCUAACUUAUUAACCAAAUUUUCAACCUACCAAUCACCUAUAAAUACAUAUAAAAGCAAAUCCAUGUCUAUAAAUAUGAUAUUAGUAAACAUACAUGGGAGUCAUUUAUGAAUCUUACAAAUGUGCUAGAAAUGAUUGAUGUUUUUUAUUGAUAACAUCCAUUAAAACCAAGAUGAAGAGGCAAAAAAUUCUUUCUUGUAAAGCAAAACAUGUUCAAUAAAGAUUAUAUUCUAUCUUUUAUUAUUGUUUGUCGUUUUUGUAUAUGUAACAUUAAAAAGAUAGAAAAUCAACAACCAACAUAUUCAACUUAAGAGUUAUUUGUUAUUAAAUUACCAAAUAAGACAUUGAAAUUGUUAGUCUUCAAGAUGUCAUAAUAAACUUAUUGACUAUUAAGAUUGAUAUAUUCUUCUUCAAAUAAAUGGAAAAAUAUAAUGCAUUUGGUAUCACGACGUUAGAAAAGACUUUUAAUAUUUGGUGAUAUUGUUAGAGGUACAAUCUAUUUUUAAUGAUAUUUUAAAUGUUUCAUUUGAAAAAAGUUAUAAAAGCCUCAAUAAUAAUCAAAUAACAAAGUAUUUUUUUGCCCUAAUAUAAGAUAAUAUUGAUCAUUGAAAGAACUUAUCAAUUACUUUUUUAGAAAACAAAAAUUAGAUUUUAUGUCUAAUACAAUUUGUAUCAUCUUGGACUUUCUUAAUAUGUGAUUGCUGCUCCAUGUAAAACUUGUGUUUAGAAGGGAUGAUAAUGCCAUAGACAUCAAUAUUAGUAUUAAUAAUUAAGAAGAUAAGAAGGAUUAAGUAGAAAUAAAAGUAACUGAAUUUGAUAAUAUCUUGUAGAAAAGCUUCUUAGAAGCUUUGUAGAUAUGGAUUUGACUCUAUAAGUCUUUGUAGUUCAUUGAUAGGUUAAAAAUUUAGCCAAUAAGUUGGCCAUAUGUUGCACAUGUUGACCACUUGUUUUACAAGUUGACCAUGUAGUGCACAUGUUGGAAACUAACCUUGAAAGUUAGUCAUCUAUCAAAUGACCUAAUGAAACAUUGCUACAUAGCUCUUUAGUUCGAUAGUACAUAUAGAUACAAGAGUGAGGUAAUUUUUAUUCUUAUCAAUACCGUUCUUGUAUGCUUCUAUUAACUCAAGAAUCUUCACUUUCUUGUAUUUUGCAAUAGCCAUACUAGUUUCCAACUUAUAUCUAUCUUUAAUUUGUCUGCUAUCUAUUUUUGAGUGUCAAAAAUGUAUUGCAUCUUUAGAGUUUUGUUAUGAUUUAUAUCCAUGAUAGAAAUUCAGCUGACAUUUAUAAGAACUUUAAAUAUAAAAGUAAAAAUAAAUAUCUACUUCUAAAUAUAUAAAAAAGAAUUAAAAUAUUUCUAAAAAUAAUGCUACAAAAAAUUAAUCUAUAAAUUAGAUAUUAAAGAAGAUAAAUAUUUGACAUUGGUAUAUAUUUAAAUAAAGAUAGGAAGUAGGUCCAAUAAUUUUCAAUGCACCUACUUCAAGUAGAUAGGAAAGUGAUAAAUAGUCCAAUUCCAAGUACAAAAAAAAAUAAAUGAAUAGCCAAACUCAAGUAGAUAGGUAACUAAAAUAGCCAAAUGGUAUUAAAAUCAUACAAUGUUGCUAAACAAGCCAAUGUAUGGAAUAAAUUGAAGCUAUAGUUGCUACCUAGAAUCAAACCAAGGUUCUUAUUAAAACAACCUCCACAACACAUGUUGUACUUAUGAAACAUUUGAAUAAGUUUUUUGAGAAUAUCUAUUCACUUGUAAAAAUUAUUUGAGGAACUCAUUGAAUAACCAUUAAGAGAAAUAUGAGAAGAAAUAUGACAUAGCUGAAAGAAACAUGAGAAGGUAACAUUCAGCCACAUUUUAAAGAAUUUUGAACUUAAUAGAAAGUUUAAGUGUGUGUUUAUAAAUAUGAGAUUAAGGUCAUGCCUCGGCAGACAGUCUGGGUGUGUUUGAUCUCAAAAGAAAGAUGAAGCGCUUGGCUUCACGAAAGUCCUCAUAAUCUUUGCAAGCCCUAAAUCUGGUGAGAAUGCCAUGCUAGAGCUCAAGAAGAGGGAGGAGAUUUGUGGGAGAGAUCGUGAGGGUCGCAAGUCGAGUUGGCUAUGGUGGGGGAACCCAAUGACUUUCCAAAUCCAGCAGCCGCUUUACUGCAGCUAUUCGGUGUCAAUGCAGAUUCGAUGAAGAACUAAGCUUGUCGAAGGAAUUUAAUCCUAAACCUAUUUUUUACCAACUGCAAUCUCGUUGCCAUCAAAACUUAAGACGUGAAGUUUCACUCAGCCGCGGCAUUGGAGGGAUGUGAAAAUUAGUACUGAAACUUUCCGCAUGUUUCAAAUUGAACGUGAUGGACUCUACCGGAGAUGCGCAGUGGUUGAUGCGGUAAUUCAAACAGCCCUAGAAGCAGAGUACUGUAUUCAACAUCGCAACAAUAUGCAUGAAUUGGAAAAGAACUAUUCCGCUUUUGUGUCUCAUCUGUUUACACUCUACCAAUGUGGAGGUCAGCUGUUUGAACCAACCUUUAUCUAAUCCUCAUCGGCGGCACUACUGAAGAAAUCCUCUUCGUUGCCUCGCACGCAUGGUGAGCCUGCAUUUUUCUGCUGUCCUAUCGCCGUGUGUUUCACGGUUUAAUGGUUGAUGACAUCCAGAAUUUUGAGCAUGCAACUUGCAAAACUGUGUUGCAUUCUCACGACGAGCUUGAUUGUCACAGACGCAGAGUAUUGGAUGGGUUUUAGUCGAGUUAGCUGGAGUGAGAAUUCAGAGCUUGUAAUUGAUGUUGAUCAAUGCGGACAUUGGUUGGGUUAGGAGUGAGGCUUUAGAUCGUUUGUGAGAUUUGGAAUAUAAUGGUGAUGGAAAACAUUAUGGCACAUUGAAGUGGGAUGGGUUGGGUGAAUGUGUUGCAGCAGUAUCAAUGAAGGGUGAUGUUUACCUCCAGGGGCACUGGUAUGUUUCAACUUUGUAACGGUUGCAGUAUGCCGUGUUGAUGUGUUGGUUUUGGUUUUCGAUGAUGUGAAGGAAUGAUUUUCCGCUUGUGGAAUUACAGUGAUGCUUUUCAGAGCAGGUGGAAUGUUGUGUUGGAAGGUGAGGACUUGGAUGUUUUUGAAAUGUCUUUGAUGUCCUUUCAGUGCUGGACGGCGUUAAAUUGUUUGGUGGUUUGCUGUUUCCUUGAUAGGCAUGACCUCAAUUAGAAAUAUGGGAAUUGGAACAAGAAAGCUGGGGAGCAGUGGGCGUCUUUUAGGUCCACAGCUCCUGCCAUCUCCCUCGCAUGUCUCCGAUCUCGUAACAGCUUGUGUUCGAUUCGCUCACUAUGGAUAUGCUAAAGAAUGUUCCCCGGCCGCACCGCCGGAACUGCCACUACAAAGUGCAUCUGCAUUGCCACCAUUUGCUUGGCUGCUCUCUUUUACCCCAUUACUGGGAGCUAGUAAAGAUAUCGCUGAUAUUAACAGCCGUGAGCAACAUAAAUGUGUGAAGGGGAAUUCUUUCGCAUCGAGCUACACCGACCAGGAGGUUGAAGUGGUGAAACGGACAGAUAUCCUUGUUGGUGAAAUUGAGGGGGCAGCAGAAACUCCAUGUGAAUGGGCUUCAUUUGUUAGUCCUGGUAGUGAGGGCAUGGGUGCUGAAGCUUCUCCGCCAGGUGCUGAAUCGAGUCCUACAUCUCCUCUGGAGGAGAAUAUCAAUGGGACCUUCAGCAAAGAGUCUAGUGAGAAAAUCCUUUCUCAAAGCCAUGUACUCAGAUUAAAGCUCAGCGGCAUUCUUUCGCUCGUUCCUAGUCACUCAAAACAGUUCAUGGCGGAGAUGCCUGGCACUUCGUCGACCUCACUCACGCAACGACAUUCAAAGGCGGACAGCAAGAUAUGCUCUGUUGCAAAGAAGGAAUAUUUUUCCCGCAUGAUGAAUGGUUUGAAUAUGGGCUCGAAUAUCUCUUCAGUUCCUUGUUGUGGUGCCUCAGGGGGAUACGUUGGCAGAUAUAUUGAUGCCUCCGACAUGGGUGUCCGAGCCGAUUCAUUUUGGUGCGAAGACAAAUUCAAAGACGGAUGGAAUGUAGACCCGUGGCGUUUCGAGCAGCGGAACAUCCUGAUUAGGACUUUGCAUGUUAUGCGGUGCGACUCUGAAUCCCUCAAGGUAGUAGCAUUUCGUGAUAUAAAAAUAUCAGUUCACUUAGAUGUGUUGCUUGCAGUAAUGGGACGGUCUCAAUUUCAUAGUCAGUCUCAAUGUUUGUGGAGUAUAAUUAAAAGGACACAAGGCAUCCUGCGAAGACGAGUUACCUUUUGUUUUCCUCUUAAUCCGUAUUUUGACUUGUAAGAUUGCAUCCAUGCUUUUAGGGUUUUAGUUUCCAGGAGUGAUUAUGAAGUUUCAUCAAGUUCAGAUCUCAUCUAACUCUUCUUAAGCAAUAUCGAACUAAAAAUCAUCUUGCAGAGCUACAUACCGACCUACAUACAUCCAGUAAUGAUGAACAAUUCAUCGUCGACAGUGAAACAAGGUCCUUGCAAACUGGCCGAUGAUGAUCUACACGAUGUUCGGGAAAACCUUCUCAAGGGUGACAAGGGAUUAAUUCAGAUUGUAGAGAAAGAUCACGUUCCCGAACCUGACAAAGAUGUUAGUGUUGUUGAGGCGUCUCAACCGGAGAAUGAACUGAGGGACCAGUCAGCAAGUCUGUGGACUCAUGGUUAUUCAAAAGCGAAGAAACAGUGGUGGAAGGAACUUUUAGCCGCAUUCGGAUUAGCAGUUUGGCUAAUUACUGGAGCAGUGCUUGCUGCAAAGGCUCUAGGUGUUCCAAACCUGUUAGUUAGUCAGAACGUGGCCUACAGCGGCUUUUGGGGGCGUCCUGAAGACGACCAAACAAAAAGCUCGAAGUAAGCUUUCAAAAAUCCUCAUGCAUUCUCUUCACAGCUGUUUUUGAUUUAACAAAUGUCAAACAAACUCCAAUCAGUCCGAAAAGAUUGGAAAAUGAGAACAAAACGAUUGACUUCUCAGCUUCCUUUUGUUUUCUUUUGUUUUGUUUCGAUUUCCAGUCAAGGAGCGCAGACGGAAAUAUUGGAGCUCAGUUCCAGUAAUUUUGAUGAGGUCAUUAUGAAAAGGUAAUAAUCUUUCAGUCAAUCAAAUAUCUCCUCGUUCAUACAUGCCUGUAACUUAGUUUCAAAGGCAAUUACAAUCUCAGCGUGCGUUUUGCGCAAUCUGGGGAUUAAUAUCUUGUCCAUAAACUACUAGUCACUUUCGCCCUUCCUUCAGUUGAAUCAGGCGAUAUGAUCCUCAUGACCUUGCCCAUGAUCCUGUCUUCAGUGUUGUUUACCACUGUAACCUGAGGCUUUUGGGUUGAAAAUGCCAUUGCGUUCUCCGCAGAUCGAGAGCAACAAAAAGUUCUGAACACCUUGUGCACCGUUUCCUGUACAGAUCCACAUUUGUUAUGUUUUACGCACCAUGGUGCCCUCACUGCCAACACUUGCAUCCUGUUUGGAAAGAACUUGCCAGUGUGUUGAGCAGGGAAGGAUGUGAUGUUCGGGUACUUGUCACUUCUUGGCUAUGCAGUUUUUUACAUUUAUAUCGAUGCAAAGAUCAGCCUGCUUUCAGUCUCAUUUCUAAGAUGACUUCAGAGAUUUUCAUGCCUUGAAACUUUUCGCAUUUAAUUUGUCUCCAGCCUGAGAAUUCACAUGCCUUCUCCCUUUUGAAGUUAUCCUCAGGCUGCUUUACAAUAUGCACCGACUCUGCUAACUUCUGUUGCCUUCAUUCAACAGCUGGCAAUAGUGGACGCUACAAAACAUGCGAGGCUUGCAGACAAAUACGAAGUGCAAGGAUAUCCUUCACUAAUCAUGUUUAAGAGAGGAGUACCAGCUGGUCGACACAGAGGACCACGCGACAUAAGCACCCUUAUGUCCUUUAUCAAUCACAAAAAGUAGGCGCUGAAUGAUUGACUGCAUUUCUGCAGUUGAAUUCCCAGAUGAUGCUGCGAACCACCCAAUUCAACCUUCGACAACCAAAUCUUGUCCCUCUUAUUGAACAUUAGCACCUCACUUUUUGCUCUGAUCAAAUCUUUGCCCUGAAGCAAAUGUAAUGUUCGUCUUCGUCACGAAUUCAUAAGCAUAAAGGUUACUAUUAGUGCUAUGAAAGACUAGACUCUAGAACUUUAUGUUUUGCCACAGUUGUGCGGCACAGGAGGAAAUCGAAUUCAUCUUGACAAAGCUUUGUUACAAGUUGGGCAUGUGCUCUGGACAUUUUAGAAAUCAAUGGUCUAAAUCACAGUGUGUUGGGAUUGUUUGCAUGGUUUUCCUUCUACAGGGCAUGCCAAUUAUUUACAAUCAUGCCCUGUGCAUUAACUUGUUCGUUGUUGCAGUUACUACAACGGUAUGUUAUUUUUAUGCCUUCUGAAGUCAUUAGUUCAACGCUCCCCUGUUUUUUUUCGAGUAUGGACCAAAGACUGAGUAAAAUGAAAUUUAGAAAGAUAACACAUCACCUGGGUUUGUAGAUGAACAGUCUCAACCAUGACUGUGGAACCCUAUCAUGUUUAACAAUGCUUGUGGUGCCCACUUCAACAACUUCAUCUCUUUCUCUCUUUCUCUAAUGGUCAUGAAUGGUGAUUUGCUUGGAAAAAUGCAUCAUCCACUACCCAUAUUGUUUAAUCUCUUGAGUGACCCUGUUGGCUUGCAAUGAGGAUAAGCUGCAAAAACAUCAGAUACUAUUUGGUUUCAGAGAUCUCUUCUACCACUUAUUACAGCAACAUUGGUUUUUUUGGUCAACAUUUUCAUCAUAAAAGAAUCAAAAUUGAAAUCAUUAUUUCAUUUUUUCUACACUUUGAGCAUCUCAAAAUGCAAAAAUAUUCUUAUUCAUGUAGAACAAUAUUUCUAAGUCAUAGAUAAAAGGGAUGAACAAGAGCAAUUGAUAUCACUCAAAGAAGAAAUUUGACAACAAGAUCAACUUUUGCAAAAACAUAGUGUUCCAGUGCAUUUUCAUACCAAGUAAUCCAAACCUUACCUUGGUCUUUGAACUCCUAUAAUUAAAUAAUCUCUUAUUGCAUAUGCACAAUGUAUAUUAUUCAUAUUAUUUCUCUAUGAAUAAAAUAAAAAAAAUGAUGUUAUUCGUUUUUAAUGUUUUCUACUUCUAAUUCUUUUUCAAAAUCUAAAACGGUCAUCAUUUAUUAUUAACUAAAAUUAUUAUUGAAUUGAAGUAAAAUCUUUAUUAUUUUAAAAAAACUAUUGAAUUUUCAUAAUUGAUAUCUCUAAAACAUAAUAGUAAUUAUAGUAUUUAAAAGAAGUAUAAUUGAAUAAUCCAAAAUAUUUUAAAGAUCAUAUCAUAAAAAUUAAAAAAUAAAUUAUAUAUUUCUUUAUAUUUUUUAAUCUUAAUUAUUAUUUUUUUGUCAUAUAAUUGCAUUUUUUAUAAUAUGUUACGAUAAUAUUACUUUAAAAUCAAAAUAAAGAAUAAAAGACUAAAUAUUUUCAUAAUAUAGUUGACUAAUUUUUUAUUAAAGUAAUAAAAUAUUUAAUUUGUAAUCAUUAUCUUGUUAGAAAAGAUCUUAUAAAAAAUACAAUAAUUUUUUAUUUGAAAGAUAGGAAUAAAAGUUUUAGUAAAUCAUAUAGUUAUAUUACAUAAUUUUAAAUCAUAAUAAGUGAUAUAAGACAAGUUAAAAUUUUAUAUAUAUAUAUAUAUAUAUAUAUAUAUAUAUAUACAUAUAAAUUUUUUAAAAUUAAAGUAAGAUUUUUUUUUUUUUUUUUUGUAUUCAUCUAUCUAUGAAUCUUUCUAAAUUUUAUAUAUUUAUCAUACCUCUAUAACUUGUUUUAUUAACAAACUCUAAAUUGUAAUAUGUGUACAGACAUACACAUAUAUAUAUAUAUAUAUAUAUAUAUAUAUAUAUAUGUACAUGCAUUUUUUUAGAAUAAAAAAUUAUAAAUUUUUCUUAUCACAACCAUCAAAAUUUCUACAAUUUUCUAGCAAUAAUACAAAAAAAUAAUAAUAAUAAAAUAAAAAAACAAAAACAAAAACAAAAAAAGAAAUCCAAAUUUAAUUGUAAAAAACUUAAUUUUACAAUUUAUUACUUCGAAAGUUGUGACUUAUUAGAAAUUAAUAAAUCAGUAAAUCAAAAAAAUAACAAUAUUUAAUCAAUAAAGUAGCUUAAAAUCUUCAAAUUUAAUUAUUUUUCAUAAACCACAACAUAAAUAGUCCAUAAUAAAAAUUUUAAAACAAAAUAAAUUAAAUAUAAGUCUUUUUCCCAUCAAAUUUGAAUACUAUAUUGUAAUUUUUUAAAGUAGAAUUUUUAGUAUUAUAUGUGAAUAUAUUACAAGUUUAACUGUACAUAAAAAAAUUUAAUUAAAAUUUUUUUAAAGCAAAACAGAGAUUGAUAGAUAGGAUUUAAGAGACAAGAAUUUUAUAUAUACAUAUAUAGAUACAUACAUACAUAUACAUACAUAUAGAGACUUAGAUGAUACCUAAAUAAUUAUAAAAAAUAAAAUAAAAAAGUAAAUAAAUAGACAAUAGAUGUAACAUCUACUAUUAUCAAAUGAGUUUUAUUAAGAGAUAUGGAUACUCUAAAGGAAAAUCCAACGUUUUUUUAAAAGACAAAAAUUGAAUAAAAUAUAAAAAAGAUAAAAGUAAAAAUGGAAAGAAAUAAUAGUAAUAAUAGCCAUUUUGGUGGUACCUUCAUAAGAUAUAGCUAUUUAAACUAAGGAAUUUAAUUUAAUUUUUUUAAUUGGAUAAAUACUAAAAAUAAACUUAUCAUAAUAAUAUCAUUGGUAAUAUUUUUACAAGUAAAUUUUUAAUAAUUAUCUGCUUUAAUAUUUUUUUUCUAAGAAAAUAAAAAUUUUCCAAUGUUAAUUUUAUUUACAAUGAUAAUACAUUUUAUUGCUAAUUCUAUUUUCUAAUUAUCAAUAAUUAUGCUUUUAUUUUAAGAUAAAUCCUAAUUUAUAAUUAUUUAUUAUUUAAUAGAAAGUUUUAAAAGUAUUGUAAUACAUGUUUAAAAUUUGAAAUAUAAAGGACAUAAAAAUAGUCAAUUCUUAAAUUCAAAGAUGUAUUUUAUCACAAAAACCAAUCUAGUUUUAAAAAAAAAAAAAACAUUAACUGCAUUUCUUUAAUUAUAUAUUUUUAAACGUUUAAUGUGUAACAAUUUUGAAAUAUAGACUAACUUAUAAAAUAGCAGUAAGUAUGUUAACAUUUAGUAAAGUUAAUCUUAAAUCUUAAAAAAUUGUAUCAUCUACAGUCCUAAAUGUGUAAUUAAAAGUAUAGCUAAAUGUCGUUGUAUUAUAGAGAAUUGAAAAACAUUUAAACUUUUUGGCGUUUCUUUGUUUGGCUUAGCCAUGUACAAUGGUUUUGUUUACAGUAACUUCGGUAAAAUUAAUGAUUGCCAGGAAGUUUUAUUAUGCGCAAUGUGAAAAAAGUUAAUUUAAAUAUACCUGUAUAUAUAUUCAAAUUUUAGACACUCAUUCCAUUUCUAUUGAUCUUUUGGUUGAGGAACCAGUAAUUUGAGUUUCGAUUUUUGAUUUAGAAUCAAACUUACAAUACAAUGCGAAAAAUAUCUGAAUAUAUAUAUAUAUAUAUAUACAUACAACCACCCAGGAAGGCUGUUCAUUUAACAGCAUUGCAACAGCUUCUAAUGCAGAAAUUUGCUCAAAACUUGGCAGCUGAAUAUACAAUCAUCUAGUUUCGGAGGGUGUUUUGAUUGAUCCAUACCACCAGGCUUGGCUCAGUUCUCCACACAAAAGUAGAAAUUCGAGGAUGACACUAUAAAAACAGUCUACCUAACUCCGAUUUCAGGCUGGUUUUAUUAGUCAGGGCUGGCCCAGUGUGACUGCAAACCUCCCAUUGCUACCUAUGGCUAAUUGACUGGCUUGUUCUCUUGACCUGUUUCUUCUGGCACAUGAUAACCCACUGGUUUCAAGAUAUUAUAAUACCAAGUUUUAGAACCUACUACACAAAGCCUUAAACAUUUCACAGUCACCAUCAGCACUUGGACUAAAUUUGCGGAGCAAAUAAAAGCCUGGCAGAGAAAACAAGUCGAAGAAAGAGACGACCCAGCAGAAACUGAAUAAACGACCAUUUAAAGAGUAUAUAAAAACUGAUGAGCUAAUAAUUGUGAUGCUUCGACCCUGUUGCAAGAUGAAGAGAAGUCGAUGCAAAACUGAGAAUACUGAAGUGUAUGCAAACAAGGGCAGAGGCAUGCAGCAUGUACCUCAAGGGUACUGAGUUUUGCUGCGUUUCUAAUGCUUUUACUAGACGUUCCUCAAAAGAUGCAGAAUGCCACAUUACUUUCUGAUCCUGUAUCGAAUAACACACGAUGUUGCAGUAAGUGAUUGACGGAUGCGCAAGCUUUGAAAUUAGCAGGGAGUUCUGUCAACAAUGAGUGAGGUUGAUUCUUUACCUCCCGAUACUUGUCAGUCGAAUUCGGAAUGCCUUGUCCAUCCCAGGGGAACUGCGUGGGCUACCCCAGUAGUCCGCAAGGGAGCCAAAAAUGGGUCUUUCCACCGGUUCCAUGUCCAUCAAUCUUGUGAACUGUCGCUCCGAGUCUGUUGUUUUCGGAGAUAAAAACGAUUCUGGAGCUACUGAUACUUCCCUAACUGGAGUCUUCAGCAAUUUGUCAUCAUCCUGCCGUUCAUCGUGUUCCCGGUGUAGGUUGCUAGUGGGUGCAUGAUCUCGAGACGCUGAAUUCUCCAAAAAAAAAGUAGUUUUCCUCCUGAAAUUCUCCUCCUGAAGUACACGCGGACAUAUCAAGCCCUUCGUAAAGAAUACAGCCACGGUUGCAGUUGGUUGUGAUGUCAUCAUCAAGCAAACCUCCAUCACGUACGAUUUUUUCUCUUAGUCCAAUCCCAAAUCUCAUAAAAGAACCUGGACUGCAAAGAGGAGGAGCAGGACUAGCACCAGCACCCCCCAGAUUCUCUUGUUCCGUUUGCGGUGGUAUUUCAUGCAAUUUCUCAACACGUGCAUGAUCAUCCCGCUCCUCUGUCAAGGGUGAUUCUGAAGUAACCAUUGAUGCCUUCUCACUCAGUGCUAGAAAAUACCUUUCUUCAUCCCGUCGAUGUAUCCGGGUAGAAGGUAUUAAAUCUUUAGAGUCAUUGUCACCACAGCCCCCAAGAGCUUGCUGCAAGUCGCCAGUGAAAAAAACAGGCAAAUCUCCGCUACUUUGUCGCUUGCUCCGGAGCUCUUCCUCGAGGGAUAAGGCUUCCGGAACAGGAGAAAGAGUUCUUCGGAACAGAUGAGACCUUAGUAGCAAGGAGCGCUUUCUAGACGACCGAAACAAGCUACGAUUUCUCACAUUUGCCUGCCCAUUUGACGCCCUCUCCGACAUGUGCCUACGUCUAUUCUCCUUGAAGUCGGCUACUGCUUGCGAAGCUUCAAGAUGAGAAGAUUGAGGACCAAGAGGAGUGUGCUCGUUUGCCUCCAAAUGCUUGGGCCAAAUUUUCUUUCUUCCUCCUUCGCCUUCUUCCUGCAAUCUUCGAGGACUCGCAGCUCUCUCGGCAGCUGCAGCCAUGGCAGCCCUGUCAAAAACUCAGGAGCAAAUUAGAUUGUCACUGUGUGGAAUCAGAAGACCAGGAGAAUAUUAAAGCAAUUUUCUCGUACUUACAUUGCAAGGGGACCUUUUACUCUGGAUGUCGAGAACUCGAUGGUGUCAGUUUCUGUUAGGAGCUCAGAGAAGGACUUCCGCGAACUCGAUGGUGCUCGCGAAACGCAGGACUCUCGAGUACCUUGGCCAUUGACCCAGCGGGGCCCAUACUGCCCUCCUUUGACACUUUUGUUUAGAAAUGUCUCGUCCGUGUUUCCCUGUCGCUUCUUCACAACGUGGGGCCGCAGACGUGCUUCCUAAAGAAACCGACGCCACGCUCAUGUAACAUAACCCAUGGGGGCAAUCGGAAAAGCACUCGAAAAAGACUAUGAAGAUGGAAAGGAUGCAUUUAGGAUGCUGUAGGAAUGUUAAAUUUAAUUAGAUGCUCAAUAGCUUUAUCCAUUCCCCUUCCUACUUUGAUUGAGAGCAAAAGGUCUACCUGAUAUGUCAAGCUGUUACCUUCCUUCUCACUGCCAUUUCCAUCUGCGCAUCUUAAACUCGUCGACGAUACGGCGUAUGUGGUUGGUGUUCCUGACUCUGGUGGGGGAUCAUUGACGAAAAAAUCAUACUCCGCUCGCCGGAGUUGCAAGUGAUUUGCACCGUAAUAAGUCCGCAAAUUUCAGUUAAUUGUUUCAUACAAAAAGUUCUUACAAGUUACUACCGAUUGAUAAACACCCACUAUGACUCGGUAGAUUCAAUGGGCAUUUAUUCGAACUAAUGGUCCAUUUACAGCUCUCAAUGGAAGAAUUCUAUGCAACCAUGACUUCAAGAGAAGUUGGAACUCCUGACUUCCAGAAAAAUGGAAAAAUAAAUCUGUCACUCGACAGGGAACUACAGCUGAGGUACUGAAAAGACUCGAAAGCCACGAGAAAGGCCAAGAAGAAUUGUAUAUUUCUAACCAAGUACCUUGUGUAAAAGGUGUCUUGGAGCAGUCAAACUGCGCCGCAAGACUGAUAAGCUUAGUGUCGUAGGAACCGCAGCUCCCUCUUCCCUGGUGUAGACUCAAUUCAAGAUCGAUUCAUACAAGGAAAAACCACCAAGCAACCUUGACAAUCACCUUCAAAUCUAUCAGCAUUGCAAAAGAUGGGUGACCAAGAGCACGCCAAUCAUAAACCUGCGACAACCUUAGACACGCAUCACUCAUCAAGAUACAUACCUCGGCAUCACGAACCUUCCGAGCUGAGAUAUCCCUAAUUCUGAAACACAGCCAAGGCCACUCCAUCACACCUCCCUGCUGCAAGUCAUUCCAUACAUACCUUCGUCACUCCAACUUCAUAAAUCUAAAACAAAUCAGCACAUUUCGCACAUGACAUUCUCUUGCCCCUUCGCCCCCUACACUUCGACGUCUCCUGUCUUGCGGCCUUCAUGAAGUUUACUCCUAAACCCAAAGCGUCCAAACCUGUCACCUCAUCCACUCUCACCACAACAACGCAACCCCUUCCAUCUCGCAAAUCCUGUCAGCCACCUCGAAUUCAACGAACGGUUUGGUGAUACCCAGCGCGAAGCCCAACCACAAUGCAAGCCAGAAUUCAAGCCAUUGUAACAAACCACAGCCCUUUCUUCCAAACUGCCUUAAGCUACGACACUAGAUUGGGUGUAACACGCGGCCUGCACGAUAUUAAAAAAAAAAAAAAAAAAAAAAAAAAAGCAUCUCGAUACCAGCCUGACUCCAUGCAGGAAGAGAAACAUGUGUGUUCGAGUGGGAGUGACUCCUCGCAGCUUGCAUUGUCUCAUCCUGAUCACAUUCACAUUCAUUGAUGGGUUUCUUAAUGAGGGAGGCAGGUAAGACAGGAGACGAGGAGAUGCGUGAUACCCAGAAUAGAGAACGUUGUUAAUUAUCAUUUCUCAUAUUAUUAUUAUUAUUAUUAUUAUAACUCACUUUGCAUAUCAUAUACUACUCCCCUUUCCUUUGUCACCAAAUGGAGGCGGCAUUCAUUGAAUGCACCGCCCACCUCUCUUCCCAAGAUCACGCUUUGGGGUCCUAUGACCGCGCCACUCGUUCUCUCCUUCAUGGCGAUGGAGGAAAGCCUGGUUCCCUCGUCGAGUGUUGACACUAAAUGUGGAUAUGUGGACAUACUUGUUAUUAUUCUAGUCCAGUAUUAAAACUAUAAUUUUAAAUGAUUAUUAAUGCUACAAUAACUUGGGUUGUUGAAGGUGUUGGUUGAUGUUUUCAAAGGUUCAUAGAUGGUACUAACUUUGAUAUUAUGAUGCUUGCAUGUCAUUCCUCAAUUUUUGCAUACCAUGUUUUCUUAAAAGAAUUACAUGUAAUCCAAGGUUUUUUUUUCCCUUUUUUUUUAAGAGUGACGUUUUCAAUGGAUAAUAUUAUGAUGAUUAGUGUAAGAAUAAAUAAUUGACUUUAGUUUGGUAGAGUUGUAUUUAUAUAUAUAUAUAUAUAUAUAUAUAUAUGUAUAUAUAUAUCUUUUUUUUCUUAUUUAAAAAUCUUGUUAACAUCUAAUUCAGUUGUGAAAUACUUAUUCAUUAAGUAAUUUUAUAAAAUUAUAAUUUCUACUAUCUCUUUGGUUAUUAAUACUAUACAUUUAAGUUUUUUUUUAACAUUUCACAUUUGUAAUGGUUUAAUUUCUUCUGAUCAUCACCUACCUUGGUGGACUAGGACUUUUUAAUAAAAAAUCUAAGUAAAAUUCUCUUUCUUGGUAACUUAGAAAUAAAAAUAAAAUAAAAAUAAAAAUAAAACAAUAUUUUCUUACAAACUAUUCAAUGAGGACUUCAAAAGUCGUUAACAUUAUUCAAGUGUCUUAAUUGUCAAUUUGAUGUAAGAAUCACACAUCAAUGAAAUGCACACAACCAUUAUUUAUACAAUAUAGAAUUUUUGUUCUUACAAAAUAUUUUAUUUGUAUUUCCUAAAAUAAAAUAAAAUAAAAUAAAAUAAAUAGGGUGGCCAAAAUUUAAGUAAUGAUGUGAAUGUUUAUUUUAGUACUACAAUAUGAAGUCUUGAACCGUCUUCUUUUUUUUCAAAUUCUAAGUAUUGUCCAGUAAGAUUUAGAAACAAAAAAAUUAUUUAUUUGUAGCUUAGCUUCAAGUUAUUCUUAUUAAUUGACUUUACUAAUGAAGUAUGAAACAUUGAUUGUUCAUUGAGUUCUAGAAUAAUUUCAACUUGUAAACAUUCUUGAAAAACGAUUUCACCAUUGAAAAGAAUUUUGCAAACUUGAACAUAUAUUAGAAUAUGAUACUUAGAACAUUAUUAAGCCAUAUUCAUCUAACAACACUUUAAAUUGCAACCGAAAAUAUCAAUCCAUCAAAAUUAUCACCUAAAAUUACAUUUGAUCUAUAACACUUUGUACCGAAAGCAACAAACAAUGCUCACCCAAUGUAUCAUGCAUGACAUUGUUGAUUGUGUAUUACAACCUCCACAAAUGUUAACACUGCUCAAAAGUAAGGGCACAUAUGGAAGUCAUUAGGUUAGGCAUACUUUCAUUCUGAAUGUAAAACAGUUAAUAAGAAAUAUGCGAGCACAUUGCGGGCAAGAUGAUACUUCUGUCUAGAAUACAAUGACUCGCAAAUAAUAAAAUUCUGACAUGGCGUUAUGUGACAUAUACACACACAUGUACACAUGUUUACAUACAUAUAUGUAUAGAGUUGUACUUGUAUGACAACGUCUGUGACAGUGUCUAUAUCGCUAUAAAAGUUGCCAUAGAGAUAUGUUUUCAGCACAAAUAUUUAUUGGGCAGUAAGUUCAUGGUUGACAGAGAGUAUAUAUAUUAACAUUUUUGCAGAAAUAGUACAACUGAACUUGUUUACUGACACCGGGAUAUAAACGAAGUUUAUUUAGCGCACACAAUCUUCACUACUCGUCUUAGAUUAAUCCCACGUGGUUGUUUAGAGAUUGGAUUUGGGAAGGUAUGAGUCAAUGUCGCGAAUCUGAGAUCAACAUUCUGUUGAGAAGGCUGCGAGAAUUCUCUCCACUGUGACCAAACUCCAUUUCGCCGGCAACUGAGGAGAGGAGACAAAAACCUUCCAAAUUUAAUUUUAAUUCGAUAAGUGUUAAUAAUCUAAGUUAUCAGGACAUCGACAGGGAGGCUGUUGACAUCGUUUCCAGACAUUCGUAUAUCUAUAUAGACAUUACAUAGGUUUUACUCCUUUCAGACAUCCAAUACGAGAAUAUCACGGCAGACAGAUGAUAUAACAAUGUGCAAGAAAUUUCCAAUAUUAUUUCAGCGCAGCAGAGGCUCAACCAUGAAAUAAGGUCAUCCCUGGUUCUCUAUGUUACAACCCAAGUGGCUUUACCUUCGGCAAUGUCAGCUAAUCAUAGUCUAGUUUCCGGGGGUGAAGUUGGUGGCGUAGGCCCAGGCGUUGUUGGCGACGGGGUCAGCCAAGUGGUCGUUCAAGUUCUCCAAGGGACCCUUCCCGGUGACGAUGGCCUGCACGAAGAAACCGAACAUGGAGAACAUGGCGAGGCGGCCAUUCUUGAUCUCCUUCACCUUCAACUCAGCGAAGGUGUCGGGGUCGUCAGCCAAACCCAGGGGGUCGAAGGAGCCUCCGGGGUAGAUGGGGUCGGUCACAUCACCCAAAGGUCCACCGGCGACACGGUAACCCUCAACGGCUCCCAUAAGGAUAACCUGGGAAGCCCAGAUGGCCAAGAUGCUCUGAGCGUGCACAAGGCUGGGGUUACCCAAGUAGUCGAGACCUCCCUCGCUGAAGAUCUGGGCUCCGGCCUUGAACCACACGGCCUCACCGAACUUCACACCGUUCUUGGCCAAAAGCUCAGGGGUAACGCACCCCAAAGCUCCGAGCAUGGCCCACCGGGCGUGGAUCACCUCGAGCUCCCUGUUCCUGGCGAAGGUCUCGGGGUCGGAGGAGAGUCCAGCAGUGUCCCAUCCGUAGUCACCAGCAAACUCACCGUUGAGGUAUGAGGGGGUCUCACCAGAGAAGGGGCCCAAGUACUUGGGUCGGUCAGCACCGUACCUACACAAUAAGAAUACAUGUCAAUUGUAAAGCAUGUGACGUGCAUUGCUGGUGCUGAUAUGAAAUAUAAGAACCCCACUCGCCAACCCUGUUCCGAGAAGUUAUCUACAUUAUUAUCCAUAGGCUAUCCACUAAAUAGACAUUAAUGUUGAGGGUUUCAGCUCACUCAUUGAGUCUGAAUCACUAGAUUCACUCAGCCUGCAUACUCAGAUGGCAUAACAAAGCAAAACCACCACUGGAGAUGGAAUGGUACAGACAAGAACACAAGCAAUCGAAGUACAUAGUGUGUGUGUAUUGGUUUACCAGUAACAUAGGUGGUCAAGGAGCGUACCAGAUGCUGUCGGAGGACUUGCUGGCAGUCUUCCUCAUGGAGAUACGGGCCUCAACAUUGCCCACCUUGCGGGAGAGCUCGUUGACGGGCUUGAGCAGGCUCUGCCCAGCCAAGGCGGUGGAGUGCAUGGCGGUAGCGGCGGCCAUGGUAACGAAGCCGAGCGAUAAAACACAAGGCAAAACUGGUACGCUGUGGAAGAAAGACAGAAGGCUACUGUGAAGAAACCGUGGCAACGUAGAGAUAGUUUAUACUAUUGGAAGCUGCGAGGAGAAGCUGGAGACAGAUUGUGGUCACGAGGAGGCCCAAGUGGCAGGUGGAGUCCAUUGGAGGAGAUGCUCCGGUGCGGAUAUCGAGAGGAUUGGGUCUCCGUCCCAAGCUCCACUGCUACUGGCUGGCGCGGAUUCCUCCUCUGCUAGUUCUAUCUGCACCCGAGCGGCACCACGGAAUGCGAGCUGCGACUCGCGCCUCGCUCGCGUCACCUUCGUCACGCUCGCGGCCUCGUCACGGCCUCAAGCUCAACACCUACACAUCGUCACCACACAUUCAAAGCUUUAGUUUUUACUUAAUUAACUAGCUUUUUUAUGUUGUGUGAUGAUAAAUUAGAUGGUGGAAUAUGAAAGCACUGCUAACCCAUAAGAGGAUUCUACUCCUUGUUGAAGGUGGAAUUGGUGUGAUCUUGUUAUGUGAUUCUUUUGAGAAUGGUAGUUUUGUGUUGAAUGAUAGUUUUCGAACUAUUGAAGGACAAUUAUUCGUCACUGAAGCAUUUUAUUAACAUGUUUUUUGCUGAUUUUGAUGUUGUGAUACUCUUUUGGUUAUUAAGUGUAGAAGUUGUUGCUGGGUCUUUCAGUGAAAAGUUAUUUUAUGUUACAUUAGGAUUUCUUGUGUUUUUUCUUGUGUGUUUUUUUGUUUGUUUGUAUGUUUUAAGGAACAUUAGUGUAGAGUAGUGUGUACCAUUAUAUUUGUACUUUGUUGAAAGUAAAUAAAAACAAUUGAAGUGAAUGUUGAGUGAUGUUCAUGUGUGUGUAUAUAUAUAUAUAUAUAUAUAUGCAACAGAUAUUUUGUUUUCUUUCCCAAAUUUCAACCAUUUUGUUUUGAUGUAUGUUAUUAAAAUUUUAAUUUAAAGAAAAAGAAAAAGUAUUUUUUAGUUUUUACUUUAAAGGGAUGUGAAAAAAGAAGUGCUAAAAUAAAAUGUAUCGAACUGGAACUCUUUGUUUUAAGUAAAAAAGUUCAAAAUUAAAACAAACUUUCCACAAAGUGAAAAUAUCUCUCAUUUAUUUUUCUUAUAAUUUUCAAUUUAUAUCAUGUUUAGUCUAAUCAGAUUGACUGUUUAUAUUUUAUAUGUAAGUAAAUGUAUUUCAUGGCUUCAAAGAUUCUAAAUCAUGACUUUCAAGAACUCUAACACCAUCUGCUCUGCUCAAUGCUUUCAUGAUAUCAAAUCAUAUGCAAAAUGUGGAUUGGGUUGUAUUUUGAAGAGAUGUAGCUUUUGCAAGUUUAUUUCAUAUUUCUUAAGCUUAAAUAUUCAUCUAAAAAUGCUUUGAUUUUAUUGAAUUGUACUUACUGAAAACCUCUUAGUUCAAAUACACUCUACCUUGAACUGAUACAUACUUACACUCAAUAAUUGCACACAAGCAUUCAUAUGUGUAAAAAUCUAAACUCCUAUCUAGAUACUAAUGGAAAAUGAUCCAAGUGGAAUGAUUCUUGGAUGUUUACAAAUAAGAGAUGCAGUCUGGCACCGUUACAAUUGAUCUACUCUAGGGCUCACACCUUUUCUUUGAUGGGAGUGGUAGCACAGGAGCUAGGUUAAUCACCUCUUUAACCUCAGAUCCCCACAAACUAAGUUGUCAAUAACUCUCUUAUUCUUACGUGUGUUCAACGCAGCAUCUGCUGUAUGCUCUCCAUGUAAAGCUCUGGAUCCAAACCCUUGAACCUAAAAGAAAGUUUAAUGUACAUGUGAAGAGCAUGGAGGGACCCUUUUCAUGCAAGUGGUCUAUAAUUCCUCCCUCAGUCCAAAUUCUCAUGUCAAAGUGGAAUCGCCUCACAUUAGUUACAUAUGUUCGUCAAGCCUGCUCUUGUCAAGCUUAAGAUGUGUCACGUGUUUUGACGAUCCGGCAUGCGAUCGAUAGAUUGACGAGAUGGGGGGGACAACACAGUUGAAUUAAUAGGCCCGUCUCGCAUUUGUCUAACACUUUCCUCACCUGGAGAUAAAUUCUGGUCUUUAAUUGUCACCAUUGGGAAGCUUGGAAGAGGUCGUAUGAGGGACGCUGGGACUGGCAUCCUGUUGUCUUGAAUUUCAUGGUCAGGUGAGCUUCCUGGGGUCUGUGGCUUAGCCAAAGACCUAGAAAAGAAUUUAUCAUUGCGAACAUCAUAAGCCUCUGCUGUGCGAACCUCUUGACAGAGAGAGCAGAAGCAACAGAAGAGCCACAAAAAGCAGUCGCUCGCCUUAGGUUUGUUGCAACACCAUGUGUAGGAAGGCAAAUUGUAUCUUUCUCGAAUUCUUAUCCGCCAGAAGCCCCCAUAGAGCAAGCUGAACGCACAGAGCACAAUGCCAGUUACUCCCAAGGAAGUUCUCACGUACCUACACGCACCAACAAGACACGUGUUAGUACAUGACCUAAACAAGUAAGCAUGAGAAAUGUAUUUGCAGAAAAUUUUAAGAAAGCAAAGGUUCUACACUGACAUCAGAUUAUUGGAAAUCAACUGCUCAACAAUAUCCAAUGUACUGGAGAGAGAUUUUUAAAUUGAUUCAAUCAAUCGAUCAAACUAUAUUAAAAAAGAAAAACAAAACAAACAAACAAACAAACAAACAGACAGACGAUUCGUAAUCUGUUCUUUUUCAAAACCCAAAUUUGAAAUUCUAUUUGAUGCCAAAAAAUCCAAAACUGAUGGCAAGUCAAUCAAGGUGACUUUGACAUAAAUUGCUUGGACUCGAAACGCACUCCAUGCAGCAUGGAUAAGAAAACGUACGAGUUGUCGAUAUUGAUUGCCGCGAGAUUGAAAACCAUAUACGGCGCACCUAGCAGGAGGAAGAAAGUUACAAUAUGCACAUAGCGGUUACCAAACCCAAGCCUCUCGUAAUUAAACCCCAUUACACAAGGAGAGCAAAGAAUUGCUAGGAUGCUAAUGGUGGGCUCAUCGUAACAGUCGAACACGCCACCUUCCCAUUCUGGAUUUAAUACAGGCUUUCCUUCUCGAGAUGCAAAAGACUUGCUCUUCUCUAAUAGUUUGUAUCUAGGGUUGUGCAGCUUGAACAAAGUUGGAUGGAUUGAGGACGAGUGCCCUGUACACUCGGCCCUCUCCAUUUUGUCUGAAAUGAGAUCAACCUCGUCGGGUGCAACCUCUUCAUCAACUCCUACGAAAUAAUCCCUUCCCAACGGACUCAAUGAGUUGUAGAUUCCAGCUGCUGCAGCUGCCCCGAAGGAUAAAAGAAGGGUGACGGCUACACCGAUUGGAGGGCGGUUUGCUCGCCGAUAACCCCAGUUAAGACCACAAAGACAAUACUGAGCAAUGCAAUUCAAAUGCAGAAGAAGCACUACCACCAAGAUGUGAGCCCAUUCAUGUGGUUUCCGAAGUCCAUUCUUGCAGUAAUUUCGCCGAAGCCUGAUGAUGUCAGUAGGGUUGUAUCGAAUCAAAUAGAUCAAAUGAAGAAUCCUGAUGGGAUGAUUGUAGAGCGCCAUGAGGGUAAAGAGCGCAUUCAGAAUCUGAUUCGAAAUCUCAAACCAAAGGUCACGAUCGCUCUUCUUCGGAAGUACUGCAUUCAGCAUCCCCACCAUGACCAUGAACAAGAUGGCCCCCGACACAGCUACAGCAAUUAUCCAAACGAGCAACACUAGAUUCUUUGGAUUCCUCAGCCAUACCAUUGCAUGCCGCUUGAGGUCUUCCCACCGCACCUCUCCUAUCAGAGGAAGCUUGAUGCCAUCCUUCAAUUCCAGCUCCUCCAUUGAGGAAACCAUUCUCGACUUCUCCUCCUUCUCUCCCUCAAUUCGGGCGAAAGAUAUCGAUGGAGUCAGUAUUUUCUUCAUGAUUGGGGAUCCUUGACGUAGCGGAGACCCUUGUGGCAUAGGAGAUCCUUGCCUUAGCGGAGACCCAUGUGGCAUGGGAGAUCCUUGCCUUAGCGGUGACCUAUGUGGCAUGGGAGAUCCUUGCCUUAGCGGUAACCCCUUAGACAACGGCGACUCGAGCCUUGACGGGGAGCUAGUAUUACUCUCCACUUCGCCAUUUCUAGGUUUCCUACUUGGAGACGGACUAGGAUUAAACGCACUAGGGUUUGGAAAACUGGAAUUCUGCAUGGAAUCGUCCUCUUUGUCAAGUCUGAAACCAUCCAGCACAUUUCCAAAGGACCAUGACCGAAGCCGCGAUCUACUAUGAACAGUGGGCUCUACACCACCACUCUUGAACUCCAAGCUCUGCUUCGGGCUACCACUAGGCAAACCCCUGAUCAGAUGCGGUGGUGCAUUCUCUAUUUCAACCUCGUCUUGGUUCUCCACCUCUUCAUUGCUUUCUAAUUCAACUUUCUUAUCCUGCCCUGAUUUCAAGCGAUUCUCCACAUUAUGCCUCGACUCUCUGUUAGUCUCAUCCUCACCAACUCGUCCCCACUCGCCGUCAGACCUCGGGCUCGAGGGAGCAACAGAACCAUUAUUCGCCUCCGGACUUCCAUUACUAACUGUCAUUGCUACAGACACAAAAAACUGUGCACAAGAAGAAUCACCCAACACGUGCAACCGCAGUGCGCUAGAGCACUACAAAUAAACACAACGGCAUAUCAACUUAUAUCAAUCGCAUUCCCCUGCUGAAAUCCCAAGGACGAAGUCAGUACGCAACACCCUUAUUAGUAGGCCCAUGAUCUCAAUCCACGAAAGCUUCCCCACGAGGGCAAGACGAAGACGACGACGACAACCUUGCAGCAUCAUGCGAAACAGGAGGAGGAGCCAGCCAUUUGCACCAGCUGUUCAAAGUCAGCCAGAGGGAAGAGAAAGGGAAGGGAAGAGAAUUGGUCCGGACUUACUCAAGAUUAUUAUUACUAUUAUUCUCCUCCACCUCCUCCUCCUCCUCUACCAACAUUAACAACAACAACGACUACUACUCGAGAGUCGAGCGCGAGAGAAUCCUGCCACCCAUGGACUUGGCUCUCUCGCUCGCUCGCUCGAUCGAUCCUUCCUCACUCCCCGUUUUUCUCUCUCUCGCUCGCUCAGUCCUUCCUCGCUCCUCUUUUUUCUCUCUCUCUCUCUCGCUCGCUCGAUUCUUCCUCGCUCCCUUUUCUCUUUUCUUUUCUCUCUCUCUCUCUCGAUCUCUAUCUCUGCCAACUUCAUCUUCUUCUUCCUCCUAUCCGUCGUGGCUUGCCGACGGCGCUCUCGCUUGCGGUGAGUGAGUGCCGUCAGUGCCGUGACUCUGCGAGCGCAGGAUCCUCCUCUAGGAUAUCAUCCUCUAAUGGAUGAAUGUGUUCAUGGAUGUCUUUUGGGUGAUGGAUGAGGAAGUGAAUGAAUGAGGUUGUUGGCACACGCGAGGUUCCGUUGCCUUUUUCAGCAACCUCACUUUCUCUCCUCUUUCCUUUCUUUGCCGUUUUCACACUCAGUUCGGUUUCGCUUUUCUUUUUCAUUUCUUUUACCUUCUCCUCGUUUCUUUUCCUUGGCCCCGAUUAUCUUUAUAUCUCCUCAUUUCUUUUACUGUGUUUCUCUCUCGGGUUUUUCUUCGAACUUCUUCCACUAUUUCUCUUUUUCGAUGCCUUCUUUUUCUUUUGUUUUGUUCUCCUCUUUUAUUUCUUCGUGAAUUUUUUAGUGGGUUAAUUUAUUUUCUUGGAGCACAAUGUAAUGUGAUUGGAUACGAAGGUUUUUCCCACGUGGCAUCCAUUCUCAACGUGAUAAAAUUCGUUGUUUUGUAUCGAUUCUGUCGGUGACAAUGGAUUUCACGGUUUUAUUGAUUUGUACUCAUCCUGGAUUUGGCUUUUCACUAUUAGCUGGUAAAGAUAUCCUUUGUUUUCCACUGUCGAAUAAAAUUGUGUACAAGAGGGCCAGGAGGAGUCGCUGUUUUGAAAACAAUUUUAAGAUCAACAUGAAACAUAUCGUAUACUUUUUUUCUUUCAGUUUUUCAAACCAAAUUUCUUUUUCACCGACGUUUACAACGAACAAUUCAAAAGUUUUAAAUUUUUCUUUUGCACAAACACAUCAUUUUAAAUCUACUGUUUUUUAGUGCAACAAUAAACUAAGAAAUUUUACCAAAUUCACCAUUGCAAAGUCUAAGAAAUACUCAUAAAAUAUGUCUUACAUACGAACUGAAGUAAAUCUAAUACAAUACUCUCUCUCUCUCUCUCUCUCUCUCUCUCUCUGUAUAUAUAUAUAUAUAAUUUUUUCUGUGGUAAUUUCAACUAUGUUUUGUUUCACCUUUUCAAUUUUUUUUUUUAAUAUCUUCUUAAAAUACCAAUCAACAAGUGUAAAACCAUGCUUAUCUAUGCUUUAUACUCUUCUUUAAAAAUCAAAUUUUAUAAUGACAAUGAAGAAGUUUAUUUUAUUAAUAUUUUUAAAUGUUAUUUAUUAAUGAGUCAAAUUUAUCUUUUCUCUUCUCAAUCACAAAUCUUAUGUAUAUAACUUUAUGCUUCAAAUUUUAUAAUAAUCUCAACAAAAUGCAACUACUUAGUUAACUUGCAACAAUUUUUCUUAUUUCUUAUAUUUUAAAAUUUCUACAAAAAAUUAUAAGAAUAUCUUGAACAAUUUACUUGUCAAUCAACUUUCAUUAUUUUGAUAUUUAUUUCUUGACAAUAAAUAUAUGUAAUAAUUGGCAAGUGUGGCAUGUAUGUGUAAAAGAAACGAUUGAUUUGUAUAAUAAUCAAAUGAUUUAUUAAAUAAAAAAUAUUUUUAAGUAGUAUCUAUUAUAACUUAAUAUUAGUGUUGCCACUAAAAACACCACUAAAUUAAAAUAUUUAUUGAUUCCUUGGAUUGCAAUAGACAACAAACUCUCACUUUUGCAUCUCUAUAUUAUGCAAUCUUGACUCAAUAUGACUAGUACAAAUUCCAAGGAAACCAUCAAAUUGAUUUGAGACCCAAAUAAACCAACUAAAUUUUAAGUAUUUCUCUAGAAAAUUAAUUCAAGAGGUAUGCUCACUAAUAACUAGUGUAUAUUAAUAGGAUACCAUAGGGAUUGUCAUUAUUGCAAUUGGGGUACUUGCAAAAUAAUUGUCUUGAAUUGUACAAAGGUACUAGAUGGAUAUUUUUCCAUUUUGGUUCGAUUUAAAAUAAUCUUAGAUACUAGUUACAAUUAUCAUAGAAAGAGAUUCUCACUAGAAUCCUUUGAGGUUCACAAAUCCUUGAUAUCUACAUAUUAAACACUUGACUGUUGGAAUUAAUCGGAGAUGUUUAACAAGCUACCAUCCUCUAGUAGGUUCGGUGCACUUGAUAUAAGAAGAUCUUUGUUGUUGACAAAGCCAUAGAUUUUUUUUUUUGUUAUUGAUUGGGUAUGGCCUAAGACCAUCUUUACAAGCAUGGCAUAAAUGCAAUCAUAUCAUAAGCUACAUUGAAUCAAUAAGAUUGCUAUGGCAGUAGAGUUUAGAAAAAAUUGAUGUCACAACCAAAUAUUGUAUAUCGGCAACUUAUUCUCCUCCAAGUGGAACCUAUUGCCAAAAGCAAACAAUCUGGUAACCCCAUGAGGAACCAAGUCCAUCUUGCAUUUCUUUAUUUUAAUUUAUCACCAUCACUUUAAAUAUAAAUAUAUAUAUUUCAUAAUUAAAAAAAGUAAUGACAAUUAAUGUGUAAAUUGAUCCACUUUACAAAAAGACUAAAUAUGCAAUCAAUUUUAUGGUUAUAAUCAAAGGAUCUACUUGUUGAUAUUCAAUGUUAAUUUUCUACACAAAACAAUCUUGUAAACUCUUUCACACCCAAAAAAAAAUUCUUGAAAAAAAAAACGCUUUUUCAAUGAGCUUGUUUGAGUUGUGGAUUAUGAUGGGAAAUUAUCAAUGGUAAGUUUUAGAGAAUGAAAGUAUCUCACGAGCUAGUGGUUGUGUGGGUUCAAGCCUGUGGAUGCGUGCACGUAGUCCAUGUCAGAGACAGAAAAACUAGCACAGCUCCAUUCCGUUAUGGUGCAGGUGGUGCUGAGAAAUGAUAAUAACAAUAAUAAUAAGAUAAUCCAAAGAAGAACCGAAUCUAGAGUUAAGUAGUCGAACCCACAUGAGCCCCCUUUUAAACAAUAUCUAGCGUUAAGGGCACAUUCAAGAAAACUAACUGACACGUGAAAGCCACCAGUCCCAACGCCCUUCCGAGGCGUCGGUGGAUCACAACUGUCUAGAUUUCAAAUUCGAAUGGUCCUACAACGGAUGAUACUGUCGGUGAGGAAUCGGUUCGUUGCACAACCAAGGCAAAACCUCAAGACAUGACAUCUCUAAAGCUCUUGGAAUGUGCGAGAGAUUGUGUGAGGCGACUUCGAAGCAGAGCUUUGUAGUUACCACACACAUGUUGUCUGUGAAGCUAUUCAGCACAUCCCCUCAAAAUCUCUCCUGCGGCGAAAGCACAGAAUUCAAUGCCAAGAUCCUCCAGCAUUGGAUGCUUAUUCCUGAACACUGUUCUCACCGGAAAACUUCUCCGAGAGGUCUGGGUUCUCAAAAAUCUCAGUCAAAAACGAGGGGAAAAAGAAAUUGUUUGGCCUGAGUUGUGUCGUGGGGAGAAAGUCCAGGUCAAAGAUGAGCAUUCGUAGCUUUCAUACUUGAUAGAUGAUGGAUCGGACACAACCCUAUACUGCAGCACUUCUCUAAUCUCUUUUUGUCUAGUUUGUCCAUCGAAGGAAUUAUAACUAGUCACUACUUGAAGUUGAGUGUAGAUGAUGGUUAGAUGUUACAAAUUUGGAAAAUGCUUCAUUUCGAAUGUGCAGACUCUCAGAGAACACCAGUCUUCUUCUUCUUCUUCUUCUUCUUCUUCAUCAUCACUGAGGUCUAAUCCAAGCCGCAGCUUCAAAUCCUUGGAUUCUGCUAUCGACUUGAACGGUCGUUGAGGCCGUGCACCUUCAUGUGAGAUGCUUUAUGAUCAGGUUGAAGCAUUAGGAGUCAACAACGUUGAUAACGCAUGAUUGUAGACAUCCUUAGAGUUGCUCAAGUACUCACUUCAUGUAUAUAUAAAAAGUGUGUGUGUGUGUAUAUAUCAAUCACCAGCUUCGAACCACCACACCGUUGAAGCGGUUUGUUAGGGCGUUCAUCUAGAUAUUUAACUUGACGUCUGAAAGCGAAAAUCACCAUUUAGCUACACAGAUUUUAGUGGAAGCAUCCUCAAGCACGUCCGGUGCGACUGUUGAAAACACCGAGAUUUCAGGUUUCGUUUUGAAUCCAUUCAUCGCAAGGCUCCUCAUUGAAUCGGUUUGUGAUUAAUUAUCGCAAAAUUAGAGGAAGUUUUCAAUGUGACGUCCACGUUGCAUGGAUGGACCAAUCAUUCGGGCUUAAAAAGACAUUAAGAAACUAGGAUAUUGAGGUGGGUACACACAUCUAUUAUUAUAUGUCAGUGUCUUAUUCUGUUGGACACACGUGCUGCCUCUGAUAAUAUAUAUAUUAGGGUUUCCACUAUACCAUCGUCAAUGUACUAAAGGCAUGUCAGUGUAUUCAGUUGCUCUUCACAACAGGCUCCUGUUCUUUUCUGGUCUGCCAACCCAUAUUUUACAUUCAACAUCAAAAUCCAACCAACAAAAAAAUUCAAAAAUGAAACGCAUCUACUACUUUUUCAAAAAUUAAAAUUUUGUAUGUCAUUUAGCUGGGCCAGUAUUUCAUUCAGAAUUGUAGCAACCUCAUAGUUUAUGAAGAAAUACCAUGAAUGGUUGAAUUUCUUCAUAAAAAAUUAUGAAAAAGGAAACCACACUUGAAACACAUGAUGGAAAAAUAAUCUGAAUUGUAACAAUACACAUUUUUCUUGAAGUUCAUAAAAUGAAUAUGUUCAAUUUUGAUCCAGCACAUGAUUGUUUUUUGAGAAGCUUAAUUAUUUGUUUGCAAUUUUUUUAAAUUUAAACUAUUUUACUCUAAUUUAUAUUAUUCUAUUUUAAAUAAAAUCACAAAAUUUAUGACACAAUAUAAGAUAAAAAAGUUAAUUAUUUUUUUACAAACCUUGAUGUUUCACAACAAAAAAAUAAUUUAUAAUGUGUGUGUAGAUAAACACACACACACACACACACACACACAGACUUGUUCCAAUUUUUUUUAAUAUUCAUUUCCAACGUUUUAAUAAAAAAGAAUAAGUAAAGAUUUUUUUUUGAAUCUUCCACUUCUCAAUUUAUUACUGGGAAAUAUUCGAGUAAUCAUAGUUGCAAAUGCAGCCUUCCUCUUCAAUUCAAGCUUUGAAGUACAGGUGGCGUGUCCAACUCGGGGAGUGUUUCUUGUUUUUGACGCACAAGUUUCUUUGGCUGAUAUACAAAAAUGCUCCACUUUCGAUUAUGUGGCAACUGCAACAUCAUUCAGAAAGCUUCCGGAGUAUUCAAACGAUGCUUGGGCCUGUGUACAUCAGAUUGCCUGGUAUUAUCUAAACCACCAACGCCUAUCACUGGCAGACUCGUAAACCGGUGCAGGGGUCCUCUUAACCGGAAUAUCUAUGGGUUCGGAUUUAGCAGGCCUUCGACGGCGAGGCACGACAGUAGUGAUAUAGUCGACCUCUGAUUCGUGUGUUGGAACUGAUGAGCUCGCCCUUGCGGGCUGCCCCUCUCUGGUUUCAACAUCACGUUGAAAGCCGGGUGGCUCUCGCAUACAAGCGGAACUCCACCAUCGCCAGAACGACGCCCCCAGAACGCUCCCUUCCAGAAACCAGUCCUCAGCUGGUCCUCCUCCCAUCCACACUCAACACCGUCACCAAAGCCUCGCAACUACACAGCACACACGACUCUACUGUAGAAUCUCCACAACGUCUCUCCAGAACACAAACCGAGGAUUGAAGCAGAUUUGUUCUAAACUGUUUGGAAAAGGACUGAAACAAAAUGUCGACUCGUGCAGUUAAACCCUUCUCAGCCACAGUCACUGUAGCACAAUGACUUCAGCGUACUGCACACGGAUGUUUGUCAUCGCGACGCUAUCUCGCUUCAUGAUCCAGCUAAAUGUCUGCACCCACAUAUAAAAUUCCCAAAAUCAUCAUACCGGCACCGAUUUUUAUACCUUUCCCCACUUUAUCGUAUAUAUAAACAAUGCAAGAUGCUUGUGCAAGCGAGACCCGUGAAGUUGUAUCGUCGUGCGUGUAGUACGAAUUCGACACACCCUGCCAUGGGACGGUUCUCCUAGUCUUUCUCCGUUGACUCGAAAAGCCCCAGGAUUUGUACAAACAAACAAGCGCACGAUGUGCUGCGCUGUCGACUGCUUCCGGAACAAGGCAUCGCCGUUUUCGAGUCAAGUAAUGGAAUGAACCUUCACUUCCACAGGACCACGAAUUCCUCCUGAAAGGCUUGGGCGUCGAAAUUCCUUCGGAGGCCGGAGUACUACGAGGACCCAUGCCGAACUGGAAAGCUAGCUUCCCACCGCAAUGAAGAAUCGCCAUCGCUAUGGCCGCAGCGCAGUUGACCUUUGUCUCCCCCUUCGUCUCAGUGAGAGAGGCGGGAAGAAAAAGGAGAUAUCGUAAAAGAAAAAGAAAAAGUAUAAAAUAAAGUAACCACAACAGGCAUAAGAGAUAAAGAUAACGGAAAGAGAAGACGGGGAAUUCUUUCGGCAGGGUUCUCUCAAAUCACGGCUGAAUGCAUUAUUGAACUGUUAUCAUUAUGGAAAUGAGCCUAUGGCACUUUUGCACAUUGAAAAUAUAUAUUACUUUUGUAAGAAAAAAAUUUUACAUGCUUGUCAUGCAUACCUCAUGUGGUAUUCAUUUAUUUAAAUGAACAAGUAAUCAUCGACUUUUACAUGUAAUCACAACCGCUGAUGUGUAUAAGAGUAUUGUGAUGAGUUGUUUUGAUUGAAAAAAAAAAACAAAAAACAAAAAACAAAAAACAAAAUUGUAAAUGAAAAUUCUUUGUUAUGCAUGUAUACAUAUGUUCAUACAAACACAACUAAUUUAUUUUAUGUAUAGAUAAAAACUUCUUUGAUUAUAUACUUUAUGUUUAUAGUUUCUAAUGAACUGAUCAAGAAUCUGAUUUUUAUAGAAGUAAUUUUAAUAAUGAUAGUUGUAUCUUGAUGAUAAUAUAAAAUUAAAUUAAAUGAAGUAAUGUGAUAUUUAAAUAAUCAUUGAAAAUUUCAUUAGAAUCUUGGUAACUAUUAUUGUUAUCUUAUUUUUUUACCUUCUCAUUAUACAAAUAAUUGUGAUAAUACAAUGUAUUACUACUUAAAAUACCAGUCAAAGUUGAUAGAAAACUUUUAAAGGCUCAAGCAGCAUGUUUUUAUUUUUAAGGUAGAAAUAAAAACGAAUAAAAACUAGAAUAAUUCUAAUUCAUAAAAAGAUAAAUUUUAGCACAAAUAAAUUUAUACCUUGAAAAGCCAUCGUACAUUCUACAGUUGUCCUUACAGUACACUGGGUUGAUAUAAAAUUGUUAUUUUUUUCAUUCUAAUUUUUCAUAUUAAAAUCUCUCAAUUUAUACAUAGAAAUGUCAACUUGUAUCCUUAGAAUUUCUACAGCGUACAAAUUUAUCAUUAUAAUAAUUAUAAACAAAAACUAAAUAAUACAUUUGAAUUUAUUUUUGAUGUAGUUUUUUUUUUAUUUAGUCUAAUUUAUGGUAAGAAAACAAAGUAAAAAAAAAGGACGACCCAAAUUAUUAAGAAUAUGGAGAUAGAAUUACUGUGUCAAAAACACGCACUCUUAUUUAUGUUUAAUCAUAAACUGUGUAUAAAACAUGAACGUUGGUAACGCUAAAAUUUCUUUACACUUUACAUAUUAUACUAUAAUUUUUCUCGAACAAUAAUAACAACAAUAAUAAUAAUACCCAUCUUAAUAUGAAACCUUUUAAAAGUAAGAUAAUAAUACACAAGCCACAAAUUUUACCUUUGAUUGAUUGUCAUGCUAGUAAUGACUUUUUAAAAAUUCCAUCACAGCCCACAUGUGCAUACAAACAAAACCAGAGCAAUUGAACACAAAACAACACACACCCAACCAGAAACAAACAAGCAGCAUGAGCAAGAAGUAAGCAAAGAAGCACAACACAAGCACAUCAUGCAAGUAACAGGAACAGAAACAGAAGACGAAGAGGAAGAGGAUGGGGUAGAGGAGGAUUGGAGGGGGGGGGGGUGGGGUGCAGUGGAGUGUGCAUGGGAUGGAUAUGACAUCUUCAUCCUCGAAAGCCAUGGCGACGCACACACAAUGGCAACGCUGGAGCAAAUGCCAACGCCAAAGCAAACGGGGGCGGAGAGAACGAAACAAAAAGGGAAUCAAAGAGAGAAAGAGAGAGCGAGCGAGAGCGAGAGCGAGAGAAAGAAAGGUACGUGGCAGAAUGGAUAUCAGUGGCAUUAGGGUUAGGUCACCCCCCACCCCCACACUCCCUUCCCACUCCCACUCCCCUUUCCCGCUUGCCCUCCCCCUCGCUCCCCUCCCGCGUCUCGUCACGUUCCCUCCCGACCCGACCCGACCCUUAGCCAGGCAGCCAGCCAUUCCGUUACCCGCUCUCCGCUCCUCGUGGCCCUCGUGUUUGCCCAAUUGUGUGUGUGCGGGUCUGUGUGUGAGUUUGUGAGUGUGAGUGCGGGUGUGUGUGUGAGUUUGUGAGUGUGAGUGCGCGCGCGUGUGUGUGUCGAUCGAGAGCUGAUUUCCGGUUGCGUUGUGUGGUUGAAUUCGGGGAGGGCGAGGAGAAGAUUCGUCGGAUGCUAGGCGGUGGAGCCGUUCGGGCGAGAGUGUGAAUUAGAGGGAAUUCGCGUGUGGAAUCAUUUAAUAACGGGCGUCGCUUUACUAUUAUUCUUAUUUUCUAUUUCCCUCUUUCAUUUAUUUGUUUUGUUUUUUUCGGAGUUCCGCGUUGGGGUUUUGGUUUUUGGCGAUGGGCUUGAGGAGGGCGUUCGGGUGAGGGUGAUUGCGAGAGUGAGGUGUGUAUGUGUACCCCCCCCCCCCUUCUUUUUUUUUUUUUUUUUUUUUUUUUGGCGACUCCGUGAAGAGAUGCGGAGGGCGGAGCUAUGAGGUCGCGGGAUGUGUUGGAGGAUGCCGCUUGGGGUUCAGUGCUUUGUAGAAUCAAGGAAUGCAGGAGCGAACUGAGCAAACGGCGUUUUCAUGGUACGCUUAUCCUGCGAUUCUGUUCAUUCAGUGGAUUGUAAUUGAGGGGGCCUGCGUUGAGUUCGCUUUUCCCUGUCCAUUUCGAGAUUUUCUGUAGGGUUGCGCUUAGAUGGGCAGAGGAUCAAUGUAGGGCAAUUCGUGUUGGGCAUUGGAAUUCACGAGGAAUUAUGUUGGGAAUGCGCGGGUGUUGGAGCUUUGAGGGUGGGGGUGGAGUUUCGCAUUCUUUCCCUUACAGAAUCGGAUUCUGGGCAUUGGCAUGGACAUGAGGCAUGCUCUUGGGAAUCAUUUGCGAGGCUGGACUAUGAAGGACUGAGUGGAAUGAUAUCUGCUGGUUUAGGUUAUGCUGGAUUUAGUUGCAUGAUUCGUCGAAUCCUUUUCCUCUGAAUGGCUCAGACAAAGUAAUUGGGUCACUGAUGUCGCGGUUUGACAUCUUUAGCUACUCUUGCCGUGGAAAUUUGGUUGGGAUCCGUGUAAUUAAAUCCCAUAGCAGAAGCAUUACCUCAGAAAGGUUAAGGUGUGGAGCAGAUGGCGAUCAUGCAGACAUUUCACAAUGUACAUGCGUUAGUGGAAUUUAGGGUCCUUCUAUCGGGUUCUAAUAUUUUUUAAGCCACAAGGGUUCGGAUUUCGUGUGCAUUCUUCAUUUAAUCGUAUCAGCGUCUGUAUGCAUGUGCAUGCAUUUGAUUCUAGUAGAACAUACCAGGCGGUAGUGAUUUUUGAAUAGUUGCAGGGGUGAAUUAACUGAUAGAACGCUGUAUGAAACCCUUUCUUUUGGUGGUUUUAGAAUUGGAGGGGCUCCAUGUUGAAGGAUUUCCAACAAUCCUUGUUGAUAAUCUUCUUUUCUUUGUUUCCGACUGGUGGACAGGAUUGGAUGAAGUGAGUAGGAGCGAUGCCAGUUCUCUUUGAAAUCAUCCUUAUAUUUUUGUUUCCAUGGCUUCAAUGACUUCUGCUAUGGGACGUAAUAACACGGAUCAUGGCAGCUGUAAUUUGCACCAGUAGCUCAGCAGUGUGAUUGUUGUCUUCUUAAGUUUUCCGACAUUAUUCGUUUCUUAACCACCGAGUGAAAUCUAACUUCUAACAUGAACCUAGAACUUUGAGGGAAUAUUUUCAGGGUUGUGGAACAUUAUAGGAAGUUGGUUUAGGUUUGGUCUCUUUUACCGUUUCCUAGAAUUGCUUAUAACUUGCUUGCUGAGGCGACGGAGUGCGAUGGUGAAUUGCAGUGAUACAGCACUCUAAAUGAUGGCCAGAUCUACCAAGGACCGGCCUGAUUACUUGGGUCGUUUCAGUGCACCUGUAGUGGCUGGGAGCUCAGGAACAGCCUAUGGUGCGGAUACUUGCCCCGAGAACAAUGUCGAGGUGGACAUUGCAGAAGUUUAUUUUCUCAUCAUGCACUUUCUGUCCAGUGGCCCGUGUCAGCGUGCAUUUGCACAGCUUUCAAAUGAUGUUCUGCAGCAUAAGCUUCUUCCCAGGCGCUUUCACGCGUUGUCGUCUCGUGCGGAAAAGCACGUUGUCGAUGAGGGAGAUGAUGGCAUGUCUUCUCCAUUAAGUUAUGCGAACAUUUUGGCAAGGUAAAUUUUCUGACGUUACUGGAGUAAUUGUAUUGGUAGUCUUUCAGUUGACGCCCUUUAUAUUGAUUGUAAUUAUUAGUAGUAAUAAUUGGUUAUGCAGGAGUUUGCCCAUUUAUGCAAACCAGUCUUCAGAUUCAUCGGAAAUCAAAUUAGUGUUAGGUGGACGGCUACUCGAUACCGUUGUUAAAAAUUUCCAUCAGUCUUGCAAAUUCCCAGUUAAUAUUGGGUUCCACCACAAUUGUUUCUGGAAGUGGUCGGGUGUGCUCGAAGGUCUUGUUUACCGCUUAUCGUAUCUCAGAAUCAAACGAUAUAUAUUCCUAUCGAAGCUUUGGAAAUUCCAAUCCCAGUAGACGUUUUUGAAGCUUUUGUUCCUGAUGAUGGUGCAUAGCGUAACAAUAGAUUUUCUCAGGUCUUCUAGUGUCACUCUGUUCACCAAUGGUUCUGCUCUUACAGGAAUCCAACUGUACAACAAAACCAUCUGGUGAAAUUGUUGGAGCAGUUGCUUGUGCAUAAUCGAGCAUCUGUUGAACAUUUGGAACAUCCGAACUCAAGGAUCCCUACAGCAGCCGAUGUCCCUACGCUUCUUGGAACUGGAAGUUUCUCACUGUUUGAUUGUAAGCACGAAAUCUUUCAGCUUUGGUUUGAUAGCUAUUGAUAUGAGUAUGAGCAAGUUGCAACGUAGUGGUUACAGACGUUACCCCUCUUUCUUGGCGUCGGUAAUGCGAAUGCAACCACUGCAAUUACAUUCUGAUUUGGAUAAUGCUACCAAUCUCCUCGUGCGUGGCAUGAUUAUAGUCGGUAAUGAUUUUUUUUUUGAGGCUCAAUAGUAAUUGCUAAAAUUGAAUUUCCUUAAAUAGAAGACAUCGCUUCAUGAAAUGCUUUAUCACAUCAGCAUAGCCCUGUCUCAGAACUUUGUUUAUCAAGCUAUUGAUUGUAAAGAAGAAGCGUCUCCUGUUUUUUACUCCUGGAUGAGAAGAACAUACGUGGAUUGGUAAUGAAAGAGUACCUUGUUCAUCCUUCAAGAGGUUUUUAUCUUGUUAUACAGCUGAAAGGAGGAAGGCCAUAAAAGAUGUCCCUCAAUGGAUCCGCCAGUUGCGAUGGCCUCACUGGCACGCCGAUCAGGUGUGUCAUCUGCUCGUCUCAUUGUGCUUCAUUCAUACAUUCAUUCAUUCAUUGUUGAAUAUUACGUUUUUAUUAUCAUAAGCUUUCAAACGGUAUACUAGCAGAACGAUGAUAUACGUACUGAAGUCUUUUAUUUUUUAAAAUAGUUUUAUUUAUUAAUUUUUAAUGCCUUAAGUCUCUAACAUUUUUUACUAAUAUAAACCCUGCACACUUCGAAACAAGCUCAUAAUGUAGCGAGGUUCUUUCAUUAUGAAAAAAGUACUGGCUUGUACUCAUAAAAGACUCGGCCUCUUUACAGGUUCAUGGGUUGAUGUUUCGUGAGCUUGGUGGAGGAUAUGCAAGACACAAGCAAGCUCCUUCAGUUCGCACUCCUAGUUAUGCUAUUGUGAAGCCUGCUGUCUUGGUCGAUCGAAUACAGAUAAUUAAAAAGUUGAGAGGACAUCGCAAUGCAGUGUACUGUGGUACGUGUCUUAGUUUCCGCUGGGUAUGUUAUAAUUGAAAGUGCUUACAAUUGAAGCCAUUGCUUUUUAUUUGAAUCUCUUAGCAUUUAAAAAACUGCAUUCGAGUAUUAGAUGUGACUGUUUUGUUCCGGUAGAUGUUGUAUUGUUGUGUAGGAUCAAUAACUAUACCACUAGCUGCAUGUAUUGGGGUCUUAUGCCGACUUCAGUCAAAUCCUCUUGCUUUUGGCAGUGCAAUGCAGGUGAGGUAAUUUAUAGUUAGAAGUGAAAAGCUUUAGUUAAACAUGUUUUGAUUCGUUUCUCACAACUGUCGUGUUUCAGCUAUUUUUGAUGGCACAGGGCGAUAUGUAAUAACUGGUUCUGAUGAUCGACUCGUGAAGUUAUGGUCGUCGGAAACUGGGCUCUGUCUUCGUAGUUGUCGAGGUCAUGAGGUCUCUCUCUCUCUCUCUCCAUAUAUAUAUAUAUAUAUAUAUAUAUAUAAGUAUAUGUAUGUUUUUGUGGAGAGGAAAGUUUUCUAGUUCCUAUUCUGGUCUGAAGAUAUCUGCUGUCUCAUUGGUGUCGAUUCUCUCCCUUUUAUCUAUUCUGAGAUAAGCUCACCAAUUAGUAUUUUGAUACAGGGUGAUAUAACAGAUUUGGCUGUGAGUAAUCGCAACAAAUAUGUUGCAUCAGCUUCUAAUGACUUCACCAUCCGUGUUGUAAGUUCUUGCAGUGCUCUAAACGUUUUAGGGUUAUUUUAAUGUAUUGUUGGGACAGAGGUGGCAAGUUUUCCUAGCAGAUGCAAUUCCAGUGUGUUUUAAUACAAUUGUCAUGCACUAUCUGACCUGAUGUACGUAAUUUACUUUGCCCUUUCGCUGCAGUGGUUUUUACCUUCAGGUAAUCCAGUUUCUGUUUUGCGUGGUCACACUGCUUCGGUUACUGCAAUAGCCUUCAGUCCUCGGCAAGGCUGUGAGCAUCUUCUCCUUUCGUAAGGUUCCACCUUCCUUUUGCUUUAGAGCAAUUUUGGUAAUUUUUCAAGGACUUUCCAGUUCACCAAAUUAGAAUUUAUUAUCUAUUAGCGUGUGCUCACUAAUGUAUGAUGAACAGUAGUUGGAAUGCGAACGUCAUUGGUUUGUUAGCUUAUCUCCAAUUGUAUCAGUAUCUUAAACAAUAGCAGAUUGAUUGGGGUGUGUAUCUGCAUUGGUAGGUCUUCUGAUGACGGAACGUGUCGCAUAUGGGAUGCGUCAGAUUCAUCUCUGCAUUCCAGGGUUUACAUGCCCAACCCUAAAGAUGUCGCUUCAGGUGUUUGCUUGAGCAUUAUUGCUAAUCAAUGUGCUUGCCAUUCAUGUUUGGGAACUUUUCAAUUACACGCAAAUCUACGUUACAGUGCAACAACUUUUUUUAGUGAAAGUAUUACUCUUGGUCAAAAGGCAUCUAAGAUGGUGGGAUUUGUUUGAGGAUUUAUUCUUCCUUGUAAAUGUUUCAGCUCCAAGGCCUACUAUUCCUGCUCCUCCAUCAACUGUCCCUGGAUGCAAUCAAAUUCUUUGCUGUGCCUUUAACGCUGAUGGCAGUAUUUUUGUCACAGGGAGCUCCGACAAAAUAGCUAGGGUGUGUUUGUUAUAUUCCAAUUUUGAAAAUAUUAUCAUUGAGUUGUCUGACUGCAAUGUACUGCAUAUAAGUGUCAUAGUCCAUUCAAGCGUCCCAGUGCUUUCUCGUUCAUAAUAUUCUGUGGAUUUGUUUAGUGAUUCGUAUGUUACUUGCAAAUCGGGAUUUUGUUCUGUAAAAUUUAAUGUUUUGUUAGGUGGGUCGUGAAGACUAUCGCAGCUAUAUCGUUGCUCUCUGUGAUGUUAGGUUUGGGAUGCAUGUAAAUGGAAUGAUGAUGUUACCGGACGACCCAACUAUGAGAUGGACACCCUGAAAGGUCAUGAAAACGACGUAAAUUAUGUUCAGUUCAGGUAAGGCAUUUUGUCGUGGUUUCAGCUCACAUUGGACAUGUUGCUAAUGAUAGUUUUUUUUGCCCUUUUCACUUUCUCUGGGUAUGUGUAUGGCUUAAGUUGCUGAAUUUAUAUUACAGUCUAUCGUCUUGGGUUAUCACAUGAAUGCUGAAGUUUCUGAUUGACAUUGAUUAUUUAUUUUCAGGGUGAUUUUGUUAUUGUGGUUAGGGCUGUUUCUAUGAUUGUCGUCAGUUUUAGUUUUUUCACAGCUGAAGGUCACUAUUUAAGUCCUUUUUUCUGUGAACUAUGUCAAAGUUGUGUUUCUUGUGAAUUGCUACGAUAAUUGGCUUGAUAGCUUCCAGGUCUUCUAGAGGUUUAGCUGAAGUGUAACGCUAGGCUUUUUCACAAUUUCAACAUUCUGACAUGUACCCUGUAGGUUCCCAUCAAGUGAGCUUGCCAGGUGUCGGUAUGUUUAGUUCUGAAUUUUUCGCUGCUUGGACAUGUGAAUGAAGUGGGUGUGCAGCUCCACGAAAGCCAUUGGUUGGUGACAGCAUGAAGGAUGAGCAUGCAACGCGCUUCAGAAAUUCUUGGUUAGUAUGAGUAAUUACCGUCUGAAUGUAAAUAUUUCUAUGUUUGAAACAGUUUGAUGUAAUAUAAUGAUAAAAAAUCUGGAGUUAUGAUCUAGCUUUUGAAUUUUCAAAGUUUCAUCUUUUGGGACUUAUAAUAGAGGUGUAGCGAACGUUCCUAGGUUGAGGAUUGUCUGAGGUUAGGUGGAGGGACAACGUAGCAACCAUUAUUUGAUUUCUUCUGAAGCUUUGACGCUAUUUGUGGGUUUUUACGAUCAGAUUUAUACAUUGAUAAUGUGCACAUGAAAGGCUAAUUUUUCCUGUGUUUGAAUAUGCAGGUUUUCACAUGAUAGCAUUGUUACUUGCUCCAGGGAUGGCACUGCCAUCAUCUGGAUGCAUCACUUUUCCAAAUCAUAUGUGAGUGAGACAUGUUGCCGAGUGCUGUUCUCUCUUUGAUUUAUAUGUGUUCACAUAUUCUCCUGAUUACUAUGUUUGUUAUCAUAUGGGGUAAUGAUGUGGGCUACAGAUUCCCUAUAACUCCAGCUUUACAUGUUAAACGUCUUUUUCGUUCACAGUUACCUCUUACCGUGAACAGUUUUUUGAUUUCGAUAGGCCAAAGUAGGACGAUGGCAGAAGGCUUACCACCUACGGGUCCCUCCUCCCCCAAUGCCUCCCCAGCCGCCUAGGGGGAAUGGACCCAGGCAACGGCUUCUACCUACUCCUCGAGGAGUUAACAUGAUAGUGUGGAGUCUGGAUAAUCGCUUUGUCCUUGCAGCCAUCAUGGGUAUGUGCUUUUAAUAUGUCAGCUUAUAUUGUACGUAGUGGUCUAGUUUGUCAAUUCGGUUGUCCCCCUUGUAAUUUCUUCCAUAUUUUUCAAUUCUUAAGACGGAUUUAACAUUUUACUUUCUACUAUGCCUAAAUGUCGAUAAUUCUCUAGCUGUUUCAAGUUUGGCGUUGGCUCACUUUUUCUAAGAACCUCAGCAUUUCUUGAAAAUGGACACUUGUUUCGUGGGUUUUAAGAGGAAUUAAUCAGUUAUCUUGAUACGUGCAAAAAAUUUAAUUGAAGAAUAUUGUGAAUGUAGUGACUAAUUCUUAGUUCAACAACUUUUUGCAUCUAUAAUUGCAUAGAGCUUUGACUAGUUUACUCAGUACUCUUUCAUUGGAGCUAAAUGCGUUAAUCUGAUCAUAUUAUUUGAUGUAUGUUGUUGUCACCUUGGACUUGUGGAGCAUCGUUGUCUUACUGUGAUUGGAAAUUAACUUUUUCUCAUUAAUUCAUGUAAACUUGCACGCUCUGAAGUUGUAAUGUUAACAUAUUGCUCUGUUCUUCAUUUGAUCAGAUCACAGGAUAUGUGUUUGGAAUGCGUCGGAUGGUAGUCUGGUUCAUUCACUUACUGGACACGAUAAACAGGUGUAUAUCUUCUCUUUUUACGAAAGUCAUAUUUCUAGCGUAUGAAAGUGAAUGCUUCGCAUUGGUUUGAUUGUUCGACUUCUGUAACGUAAGAUAUUCUUGGGAGUUGCGUGUGCAGACCUAUGUACUCGAUGUUCAUCCCAUCAACCCAAGAAUUGCCAUGAGUGCUGGCUAUGAUGGACGAGUUAUCAUCUGGGACGUAAGUGCUUCAUCAGUUUCUACCUUUUAGGGUUUAAUUUACCUUUCCUCAUUUCAUGUUGCAGAAAUCAGCAGAAAUUAACCAUGUCUCACCAUUGUGCAGAUAUGGGAAGGACGCCCCAUUAAAGUUUAUGAAACUGGGGAGUAUAAUCUAGUGGAUGGCAACUUUUCUCCGUAAGUUGAUGCUUCUGCAUAUCCAAUUUGUACAAAGUAGUUCCUAGUACAUGUUUUGAGAAACUCGUGAGAAAUCAAAGGAUUAUGAUUAUGUUGAAAUAUAAAUUUAGGGUUUCAGACAUUGAAGUGGUUGUAGUUCUCAUAUUUAAGGUUCUUUCCUAAAACGUUAUUUGGGUUUAUCUGUUUAUUUCUUCAGUUGUUUAACCCACGCUAUUUUGGUAAAAGCACAAAUUCACUUAGGCUUUGUUUCAUUUUCGUACGCAAGAUGUUUCUCUAUGUAUUUAAUUUCAGAUUUUUUUUCUUUGAAGCUGGAUUCUGAUAUCGGUAGAGGGUAGUGUGAUGGGAUGGAUUAAGACAAACCGUAGAUAGCAAAAUAGUGCAGCUGCAACUAAUUGGCAGGUGACUGGGUGUAGUGUUUCACUUGUCAAAAUUCACUCACAUUUGGUUUCACAUCCACAGCGACGGCACAUCUCUAGUGGUGUCCGAUGAAGUUGGCCAGAUUUACCUUUUUGGCACAGGGUCAAAGAUGUCCGAGAAGGACGUCAAAUAUGAUCAGGUUGAAUAUUUUGAGUUAUUAAUUAUUUCUACGUUCUGUAUGCCGAAUCUCCAUACUCUUUUGCCACUUAAGUUAAUACUAAGUUGCUGGUGCACGGUCUUGGUGUUCAACGUUUUUAAUAAUUUGAAUAGUGGAUUUAGUAAUAAGUGUAACUUUUGAUCAUCAAGGAUUGGUACUAGCUUGCUUUACCUCCCAUAGUUUGAUUCAAAAUUGCUAAAAGUAUUAAAACUGCACUGUUCUUCGAAAGAAAAGCUCGGUGUGAUCGAUUUAAGCCUGGUCCCACCCUUUUGUUGCCUUCGAUUGGUGUGAACUUUUCCAGUUAGUGAUACUGCUAUUGGGAGAGGAGCGAGCCAUGUUCUGGACCAACCUGGAAUGUUCGCUAUUAAGAGGUUUAAUUUUGAGUAUUAUGCAAGAGUUUGCUAAGAGAUGUGGUGUGGCUCCUUCCGUGUUGUAACAGUUUUUUCUUGGUGAUUUCCGUCCUCUGGUGCGCGACGUUCAUGGCAAUGUCUUGGAUGUGGCAAGUAUUUCGAAUGCCCACAUUCAAAACUUCAAUUUGUAUUUCCUUCUGAAAAACUACAAACUCUGGAGGUCAUUAACUUUUGGAAAGUUAUUGGAAGCUUGUGAACCCGUCUUUUACUCGUGUAGAUUUGACUCAGGUUUUUAUGGUUAAAUUUUUUAGACCUCGUCACAGUUUGUUAAUUUAAUUCUAGAGGUAACUCAUAUGUCUGGUAUGAUUUCUUGCAGGAAACUCAGCAACCACCUCAUCUGCGUAAUUUACGCGAUUUGCUUUGUGAUGCUGGUGAGUGGGUUAAUGUGCAUGUAGAAGUGGUAUAGAAGUAAAUGGUCCAUUCUCUAAUGUACAGCUUGAGUUGUUGUGUUCCUAGUGAUAAGGUAAUGUAACUAAGUAGGUGUUUAUCAUAUGCUUUAUACUACUUUUUUUACUGGACAAGUAAUCCCUUAAAUCUUAUACCGCAGGCAUGAUUCCUUACUGCGACCCGUACCAAACCAUUUUCCAGCAGCGCCGGCUUGCUAACCUCGGUCUGGAGUGGCACCCACCUGUUAUGCAGCUUUCAAUCGGAACUAAUGAUGAUGUUACAUAUUUCCCGCCGGAGCAACCUAUGGCUUUCCAGCCACCGGUUGCUCCUUCACCUGAAAGACAUGAUUUACCGGUCCCAACAGAUGCCGGUAGGAACAGAUGGGUAGAGCAGCCCCCUGAGGUAGAAGAACCAAUGGAUUGGGAACAAGAUGCUGCAGUGCAUAGUGAAGACACUGGAUCGGAUUAUAGUGCAAGUGAAGAAAGUGUGAGCGAUGAAAAAGAAGGAGAAGGUUAUGAGAGUUUGAGCGAAGGAGAAUCAAAUAGUGAGGAGGAAUCGGAGGCUCCAAUGCACUUGCGGCGUUCGGGGAGGAACAAGCGAAAGAAAAUGGUUAGUAUCUUUUCAGCCUUGAAACUGAGAUGCGGUUAGGAAUCUGCUACGGUUGUGUUGGUGAAUUCGGGGUUGGUUUAUCUUAUUGAAUUCUAGGACGUGUGCAUUCCAUGAUUAGAUCUCGUCUUUCUUAUUCUUUUAUGUCUUCCAAGUUGUUGCAGGAGUCUGGACGUAGUUCAAGUAGGCGAGUAAGGGGAAGAACUUCUGCCGACUAUGACACCAGAAAGCGCCGUCAGCAACGGGGUCGCCGUUUGAAGGCAUCUAGAAAUAGUUCAUACAGAGCUAGUAGAGCAGUUGUUGUCAGUGAUCAGGAGCAUGUCUCUACCAGACCGCAACGGCAGGCUGCUCGUAAUGCACUCAACUUAUUUAGUUCUAUUCAAACUCCAGGCCGCGAAGAAGACGAGGACAGUGCUGAGCACGGAGAGAAAUCAGAAGCGGUCGAUAAUGGACAAGAACAUGGAGAACCAUCCUCUAUGGCAGCUGCAGACCUUGAGGGGGAGAUACGGUCCCUUAGAAGAAAUCCUCGAGAAGAAGUUGAAGAGGAGAGUGAGCAGCGUGUCCACGCUUCAACCUCGCAACCUGAGGUUGAUAACCUUGGUGAUUGUAGGCGUCCCAGAUCGCAGAGACCUAGAAGAAUAAAAAUCAUAUUCAAUCGUCCAGCUGGCCCGGCACAUGGUUCUUCACAGUUUGAUGGGCUUAGAGAGGGUGAAGCAAACGCUUUGCAUCCGUCAGACGAUAUAGCCAUCUCGGUCAGUCCUAGCCGCGAGAAUAUUCCACCAGAGCAGAUUCAAAAGUCCCAUAGGAAAUUGAUCAUCAAGCCUCCGAAACCCAUUAGUCAAGAGGGUGGAAGUAGCGAUGAAGACGGAGACACAAUAGGAGGGCAAGGGAUGAAUGUUCCAGCUUUAGCUCAAGAGUCGCCAAUUCGAAGUCCUGAUAUCGCACACUCAACAUCGGAAGGAAUUGUUGGACAGGAGAAUCAUUGGCAGUGGAAGAGGGGUAAGGAGAUCAACGGUGCUUUGGGUAGUGGUUCUUCCAAGCAUGGAGAGCCCAGUAAAGACAAUGAGAGUCUGGAAUCCUUCGAGCGUGCAAUUCUUUCAAACGAAUGUGCCCAAACGCACACAUGGGAACAGCCUCAACAUCCUGACAAUUCAAGAUCAGAAGACGCUAAUGUUAGAAAUGAGUCGCACAAUUCCGAGCGUGAAAGAACUCAGAAUAAUGCGAAUGUUUCUAAUGACUAUGGAGCACAUGAAGACAACCUAUCUUCUGUGCAUGAAUUGGCAGACACUCUUUCGCAGAAGGUUGAUUUGAACAAGGAUCCGGAUACCGAAGAGCGCCGUUCUAAAGACACGGAAAGAGAAUUAAGAAGUGAACAGAAUGCAAAUCAGUCUUUGAUGGAGAAUACUUUCAGUGAUAGAAGUCCCGUUUCAUCAGAGGCUGGAGGGACAUCAAGAUUGCAGUCUACAUCAAAAGUCGAGACGGAGAACAAAUACCAAUUGCAAGAAAUGCCAGCAAGCUCUAGGGAAAUUGAAGACGGUGAUUAUGCUGACGAUGUAGACGAGGGUCAAGAGAGGGCGGGACACAUGCAAGACAGUGAGCAACACCUAAUUGAGACCGGUGGCACUGAUCAUGAAACAAGAGAGUACAGCGACGAAGACUCCAAUGCUGGAAGGAACGGUGUCCUCAAUAACGACCGAACAAUAAACACCUCUGUGAGUCUCGAAGAACGUCAGCACCAGCUUGACACUGAUGAGGCUGAGACGAGGAGGGAUCAUUUAUGCGAUGACAAUGAGGAUGUCAUUGGAUAUGAGACUGGACAGGAUCAUCCAGAAGGAAGUACAGAGAAGCAAGCGUCGGAAUCAGAAAUGGACGAGGUGAACUUCUUUUGAAAUACUUUAUGGAACUUAAUGACAUAGUUUGCUUAUGGUCUAAUCAUCCAUGCUUAUACAUACACAAUUCAUAUGUACGUGUUCGAUGAAGUUUUUCUCUAAUAUCCCACCUCCUUUUCAUUUUACAGUAUGAAUACGCUGGACAAGAGGAAAAUGAGAGCAAAGAAUUCGAGGACACACCCCGGAGUUUUAAAAAUCGAUCCCGUCGACAGAAUAAGUAUGAAAGCACGGAGGGCAGGAGUCGAAGUGCAGAACGCAAACGGCACAAACCUCUAUCUGAGCUAAACUCUGGUCAUGGUCAUUCACUACUUUCUGAUGAGGCGCCAUCUCCAGCCAAAAGGUCAACUCGUCAUGUGCGAACGGCACCUGAGGGAAAUGGGCGAAGGACACAGCCAUGGUUGCGUGAGCACCAAGAAGCUGAAGAACUGGCAGGUCCUUCGCGAUCAGUUUCACAUACACAAGUGCGAGGGAAGAGUAAACGACAACCUAGUAAUAAGCUGCACGACAUGGUUUGGGAAAGCGAACCCCGUAACAACGGUGUAUCUCAUGGUCGACAAGGCCUCCGUUCAGAUGCUAGUCCCAGUGGAAGUAAGAUUGACAGGCCUCUAAGGCUCAAGUUGAAAUGCACUGAAAACUCAGCAAAGAGGAAUGAAGGGUUGCCUGAUGAGGAUGAUGACAAUGGGGAGAAUCAGACGCGAGUGUCAGCUCGUAGCACUCGAAGACAAAUUAGCUUACAGAAAGAGAGGGCAAAGGUUGUUGAAGUCAAGGUUGGUGUGACAAAUUCUAUUCCACGCUCAAGUUGGCGUGCCCCUAGAAACAAUCUUCGGAAGAUCGAAAGUGCCUCGUGGUUGUUGACGUCAGAGGUGGAACAAGGUCACUACACUCCACAAUUUGGUGAUGAGGUCGCUUACUUGCACCAGGUAUGUUCCUUCGCUUUAUGUGAAUCAGUUGUACAUGUCCUCUCGAAGAUAAUUAGUUUGCUUAACUUUUAGUUAUGUAGCGGCAUGCAACAGAAACGAAUUGAUUAGUUAUUAAGGCCUUCAACAUCUCUAAAAUAUUCUAAGUUCUGAUGUUAUAAUUUUCAUGUUAUGAUGUAAUCAUAUCGUUCUGCUUCUUUGACCAUUUCCUUUCUGACCUUGUAUUUCAGGGGCAUAGAGAAUAUCUCGAAGCAUCGAAGGUCAAAGAAAAAGGUCCCUGGAAGAAGCAUGAACUUCGCGCAGUAGAAUUUUGUCGCAUUACAAAUCUAGAAUACCACAUUGAACCUGGAGGUGGGACAAGCUGCAAGCUAGAGCUUGAAUUUUUAGAUAUGGAAUCUUCUGCUAGUGGCUACAAGUUCCAGCUAACAUGGCCGGAAUUGACUGAUUAUCCGGACUUUUUAGUGGAGAAAAGUCGUUUUGAUGCGUCCAUGGCAAAAGGGUGGGUUGCUAGGGACCAUUGUAAAGUAUGGUGGGCGAGUGAAAAGGGGGCAGAUGAGAAGGGCCAAUGGUGGGAUGGUCGAAUUAAGACUAUCAAGGCCAAGUCUGAUGAUUUCCCAGAUAGUCCGUGGGAAAAAUACAUUGUCACCUACAGAGAAUCUGCAGAGCCACAGGCGCACAGUCCUUGGGAGCUUUUUGACAGAAAUUGCAAUAUUCCAGGGUGGACUGUGCCGCAAAUUGAGGAAGACGAAAGAGACGAACUAUUGCAAUAUAUUUACGACAUUGAGGAGGCUAUGUUAGAGGAUGAGACGGUACUUGUUUUUUUUGCUCCCAUAUUCUUUACUUGAAAGCAGAUUGUCAGAAUCGUCACUGAAAUCCUCAUCAGUGAAAGUUCAGAAUCUGACAUUACGUUAGUUUUGCAUUGGUUUACAGGAUGGAUUUGGUGUAAAACAACUGGAAUCAUUAGCAAAGCAUGACUCAAACUUCUUGAACAGGUACUUUUAUCUUUAAGGUUUUUAAGCAAGCUUAUGAAAGUGACAAUACAUUCCUUACAUUUGUGAAUUUACACUCUGUAGAGCUAGUGUAUUUUAGACACUGCACUUUGAUUCGUUUUUUUAGAACGAGAACUCGUUCACAUGUGAGACUUUUAAGAGACAUUUAAGAGACUUUUUCAGGAGGGGCAGAGGGGUAUACAUAAGUGCCUUUAUUAUUUAUAUUUUUGUGUCAGUACCGCAAUAUAAUGCUUUUUCAAGUGUACCCUGCAUUACCAGCUUGUAGUAUUUAUUUGGUGUUUUAACAUUAUUCAACGGGGCGCUUUUGUGGAACUUGUAGGGUGCCUGUGCCGCUUACCUUGGAGCUCAUACGAGAGAGGUUGUCAAAGAACUUUUAUCGUAGCAAAGACGCCGUAGAAUACGACAUUCGGUUACUAGCUACAAAUGCUGAACUUUUCUUUGGAGACGAAGAUGAUUUUACCGGAAAGAUGAACCGGCUGGCCAGUGAACUCUUGGAAAUCUUGCAAUGACAGUGUUUGCGGCACUGCAGCAAGGACAUGUAAAAACAAAAUUACAGCAAACUUGUAGAUUAGAAAGUUGUGAUGUUAGACAUAAGGUGCUCAGCUUGUGCUCAGGAGCAUAAUUGGAUCAGUCCGUCUGACUUCAUGUAUUCCACCUGUGAAGACGGCCAUCGUGUGUAAUUUAACUGGGGUUCCACGUUGCCCCUUCAGUAAACUUCCUGUGACUCAUUCUUGACUGGGCAUCUUGGUUCAAGGAUUAGAGAUUCUUUCCCUUGUUUGAUCAGUCAAAGUGUUCGGAACCAUGGGAUUUUCUUCUUGAACCGUUCCUCCAAAGAGAAACUGCAUUAUGUUCUGAUUUCUACUUAGAAACGUUUACAGACUCUCGGUCUAUUUUGAGAACUACCAAUAUUUAGAAGUCCUUACCUGGUCUUUUGGGUUUGACGUGCAUUCAGGACAGAUCAAAACCAUUCACUUUUGCUGCCAUUUUUUUGUAGACAUUGCUAGUAAUAGCGUUGAGAGAAACCGUCGCACCUCAACGGCAGUAAUUUUUAAGGUGUUGAAUGAAAUCAAGACGACCACCAAAUUUACCUCUGCUCGCACAAAAAAUAUUCUUUAGUUAAUAUCAAUACACAUUGCAAUAGUGAUCUAAUAUUUAUUAAAAUAUGCAAAAACAUGAAAUAUACAUAGAGGAUUAUCGGUUAAAUUUGAAAUGUUGAUUUUUAUUUAUUUAUUUACAAAGCUUCAAAAUAUUUAACUCAAUAAAUUAGUCCUCUGUCCUGCCUUGGAAGAAAUCAUAUUCUGCAACACAACAUUCGGUAUUUACAACCUAAAUUAAUUAUUCACAAUCAUCUCAAUUAACCCUUGGACAUGAUUUCAAAAGACCAAACAAUCUAUCAUGGUGACAAUCAAGCAUGUAAAGACACAAGUUACAACAUCGUCAACUCAACAACUUUUAAAUUUUUUAUGAAAUAUGAGACUAUGAUUUCUCCUAAAACAUAACAUGAAAAGAUGUCAUCAUUGUUUAAAAAAAAAAAAUAGAAGUAAAAAAAAGUAAAAAUUAAGGUGAUGAUAAAGGAUAAUAAAUAUAAAUAGGCAACAAAAGAUUAAAAACAUUUAAGUGCGUUUUUAAAGAGAUUUUAGUAGAACUUUUUAAUGCAUAUUAUGGAAAAAUGUAAGACUAAGACUUUCUGUAAUUUUGUUACAGCCCUUUAUUUUAAAAUUUUAAGCGCACUGAUAUUUUUGAAAAUGUAUCCACUGUACAACUAAAAGGAACAUUAUUUAUUGAUAUUAUAAAAAAUGAUAUAUUUUAACACAAAAAUAAUGUCAAGAUUCAUUCUAAAAGUAACAUGAAUCUUACACAAGCAAACCAUAUAUGUAUAUAUAUAUAUAUAUAUAUAUAUAUAGAUAGAUAGAUAGAUACACGGAAAUACAUCUCUCUUCAUCUCGCUCGUUGCAUUUGUGUCCUGAAAGCAUUUGAGCAUUUCGCAAGCAGAAAAAAGGCUUAAUGAGAGCACAUGAGAGGAUGUUUUCCUGCAUUGGGGUAGUCACCACGCCUGAAGCCAGAUGAAAAAUCGAAGCUCCGGAAACAGUCUUUCUUCAACCAUAAAAGACAGAUUCUCCACGAGGUCCACCCUUGAUAUAUCCAGUCCUUAAACGAUGACAACAAUGAGCUUAUUGAGUGCACAAAUGUCGAAAACGGGGAUCGCUCAAUACGCUUCUGUGCGCGGGGUAACCUCACAGGUCUUCUUCCCAGUGGAAUUCUGACGUUUCUAGAUGUGCUUACACUUCAAUCUAUUCUUCGCCUGAAGCAAGCAACGAAAUACCACUUCUUGUUUUAUUAGGCAGAAUACAGUAAUUAGCAUUAUCAGAACUAGCUCUGCCUUUCAAGGUUUUGCUUGUGUAGAAUGCUUGGUCCACCUGAGAAUGAGCCUUGCGACUGUUGGGUACAAUAUGUCCCAUGCCUUGUGACGAGACUCAAAUUCUGAACGGAAGCCUCACAAGUUCUCAGUCACAACCUUUCGUGAGAUUCUAAGCGGGUCCAGUGUGCGAAGAGUUCACUCCCUUCCACCACUGCUCUUCGUGGGUCGAAACUGGGAAGCUCACAGCAUCGACAACAUUGGGAUCCAGGAUGCAUCCAAGUUCUGGGAUGAUCAUUCUCUUGACCACCCACAAAAUCCGUUAAGUCUGAGUUGUUGUCGGUAUUUACCUCCGAGAACUCAUUUCGUUGCUGUUAGAAGAGACUAGACACAUGAUCGGGGAGCUGCCUUACAUGCUGCCAAUGCACGUCUUACUUCCUCUUUCUGUUGCAUGUUUGCGAACAAUCUGUAGAACCUCCAGUGCCGACUUAGAGGCGAUGGAACAUUUCGCGAGACUGUAUAGUUGCGGAGAGUAAGAAAGCAGACUGUCGUGGCUUAACUUGGCAACGAUGGGUAAAUCGAACACCUGCUUACCCCUUCUCUGCGAUUCUUCUACUGGUGAUCAAACAGCUUUGAUGGCAUACGAGUUUAUCAAGACAGAGUGUAGGAUUGCCAACAUGUUUGAACUGCUGGUUGAGCAGUGCUUAUCCACGACACAAAACCAAACAAAAGUUGGUGCUAUCAAACAACAAGUGGACAGUAUGGAGCAUUUUACAGCUCUAUCACACCCGAGGUUAUGUAUAGCAUUCUUUAUGCUCCAUCUCUGGUUGCAAUGAUCUUUCUCGCAUUGUUGGUUUCCAAAAGCACAUGGUUAAGACAGGGCUUUCUAAAUCUGAAGAUGAUAGAAUCGACUGAGCAGGAUCGUAAGGAGAAAGAACUGCAUUAUGAAUGCGACAGAAGAGCAGCGCAGCUGAGUGAAGAACUCAAAGAGGCUAAGGCGUGCUUAGAAAUGGUCAAUCUCGGAGGUGUGAAGGCGAAUCAGGGGAUUCACGGAAGAAGGGGUGAAUACACGCUGCUUUGCUCGUCUGGAUUGACGUAGAAUUGUGGAUUAACUUCUUUCUUAGUAUAAAAAUGGUGGAGACUCGCUGUCAAUGUCUUGCAUGCAGGCCCAUGCUGCUUUGAAGCGUGUGCAAAGGGAAUACCAUGCGAGUCUCCAUCCGCUCAACAUCCCGGAUUUCUAAACUCGUCUCAAGCUUGGGACUGCGGUAAAAAACUCCAACCCGAGUAUUUAGAAGACCACAUCAGAUCCCACCAUCCUCGACUGGCGCAUCAAUUCAGCCUUACACCCAAAACCACCUUUGGCUCAGCCGACACGAUUGGGCGGCCGGUGCAUUCUUCUGGGUAAACAUCGAUCGACUGCUCCUUCACUUCAGAUCCUCAAAUCUUACACAGUGAGUUAAACCAACACUAUCUACUCACAGUACCGACAGUUAAUAUCCCGGGUUACGAUGUAUUCAGGCUAAGGCAAGCUUAGAAAUCACCUUGCAGGGGGAACAGCUCAAUAGUUAAGGGAGGUGAAUUCGCACCAGCAAGACCACAAAUAUGUCCACCGGCUCCGAGGAGUUGUAUCAAGCAGGAGAAUAAUUGCAGCCCUUCACACGCCGCCACCCAAGCGAAUGUACUGCCCCCCACUUCACGAUACGGCUUUUACAGAUACUUCGGUGAGCAUCACUGAUUUCUUUCAAAAUACUCGAUAAGAUUCACCACGAUGCAUCAACAAAAAGCAAUUGGGUUUUAUAAAGUCUAGGGAUCAAGCAAGCGAUUAGAAACUAGUGGGGUUGUUGGUGGAUGUGCAGGCUGCGCAGGCCAAGGAGCCAAGACCAGCAAGGGCUGCUGUCCUGGGUGCUAAGAAGAACCUGAGCUCUGACCACCAAGCUGCAAUGUAUCGUCUCCGACACCACAAUCAGUGAUUCACAAACUCACUUGUCUGGAACAAAACUACUUACGUGAGCUUGCACAAACGAUUUUUUUAACCAGGUCAAUACAUCGUCGACAGAUCUGAUCAUUCUCGGUUGUAGAAUGAUCCCAAAAACAGCAGAAAAUUGUUUGAAUGAUUGAGGUUCGGUUUUUUUGUUUUGUUUUGUUUUGUUUUUUUUUUUUUUGCGGUAGUUUCAUGAUUGUUGUCAAAAACUGCAGUCUGGUGUGGCUAUGACGCACCCAUUUUAGUUGUUCUGGCAUUGUGAAAUGUCGAUGACUGGAACUGCAUCAACUAUGAAACAGUGCCGUUCUAGAAGUUGACACAAAUUCAUUUGUAUUCUUCUUGAAGCAGUUAUUUUUAUUUGUUUGUUUAAUCAAUUCCACACCAGAUUGCUUUCUUUAGAUGCCAAAUUUGAUAUACAAAAAGAAAAUUUUCUGUUUGUUGGAUGUUUCUAAGCCAUAAUUUAGUCACAAAGUAAAACAAAAUAAUGUCAUAUUUUAUCUAAUAUAUUGUCAAUUCAAGUUUUUUGCACUUAUAAAAUACUCCAAUUUUUUCCAAUGUAUACGUUUUUUUUGUGUGUUGAAUUAAUAGAAAAAUUCCUCAAAAAUAUCAAUUAUCAUUAAAGAUACUUUAAUUGUAAAUUUAUACAUGAUUUUGCAACACAAUAUUUUGAAAACAAUGUGCUUAGACCAACGUAUGCUUGUAUCGUCAUUUAAAAAAUCACUAAGACAAGUGUGUAUUUGGAAGCAUUUGUAUUUAUAAUAACAAUAUAUUUUAGAAUUGAGUAUAUUGUUACUAAUAUAAAUGAAAAAAAUUCUUUUAUUAUCCCAUAUGAUGCAAGUUAUUUUUACUGUAAAUUUUAUUAAUCUAAUUAAGAUUUUAGAAUUUUGAAGAACUUUAUAUCAAUUUAUACAUUCUGAAAAAUAUUAUAUUUAUACUUACAUUUAAUUGAUAUAUAUUUUUUAUUCUAAAGUGAAUUGAGUCUGCUUUAGAUUUCUGAUUUUUUUCAAAAAAUGUAAGAUAAUCACAACCUUCAAAUAAAUGUUGAUAAAAAAUAUAAUUUUUCUAAUUUGACGCAUGGUCUUUGAUUUCAUAGUUUCUCUAAUAUCAACUGUAUAUUCGAGUUGCAAUCUUCUUUAUUCGUUAAAUAUAUGACAAUAUCACCUAAACAAAUUAUUACAAUUUUUUCAAUCAUACUCAAAAAAAUAUCAUAUAUUUUAUGUUAAAAAUUUAAAAGUGCACUCAUGAUUUUUAAAAACAUAAAGACCUAAAUCUUAUAUAAACUACUUUCUUUUAUUGGAUCUAUUUCUUUUAUUUUGCCCAACAUUAUAAGCACAUUUUAAAUCUAUCUUAAUAAUGACCUUCUCUUCUCAAUUUGUUUUUAUAAUUCUAAAUCAAUAAUAAUAGAUAAUUUUUUUGCAAAUAUCUCGUUUACUUGAUAUGGAUUAUAUAUCCACAGUAAUCUAUCUUGCUUCUUGAAAAAUAAAAUAGAUUUUUUUGAUGACAACGUAGAAUAUUGAAUAGAUUCUAAGUUACAGAUUCAUCAAUAUUUUCUUGUAACUGCAUUUAUAUCUUUAAAAAGUUAUAAAAUGGUCAAAAUAGAUGUUGUAAUUCUUAUUACAAUUUGAUAUUAUAAUUAUAUAUGUAAUGUUUUUGUAACAUGUGACAAUUUUUCUUCUUAAUUACAUCUUAAAGUCAGAGUAUCAAGUAUAUAAAUUUCUAAUGGUCUUUUCAGUAAAAAUAUUUAGACAUAUAAUGUAAAUCACAAACAUUGCAUUAUUUUUAGAAUCUCAUAUAAAUGCUCUAACUUUCAAAUAUAAAAAAUGCGUUAUUCAAAUUUUUAAAAUUUUAAUCUUUUAAUCAUUAAAUUUAAAAUAAAUUAUUUACAUCAAAUAAAUUAUUUUGUAUUUUGUAUAUUAAAAAAUAUAAGUAUAAAGAUAAUCAAAUCUUAACGAAGUUAUACAACAAUGAAGCCAAUAUAGAACAUUUGAUUUUUGUAGUUAUUUCAUAAUAUUCAAUUUUUUUUAUAUUAUUUCUUGUUAUCAAUUUUUUAUUUUUAUUUAUUUUUAUUAAAAAUUGUAUUUAAAGUUUAAAGGUCAAUUCUAAAAAAAAAAAUUUGUUAUUAUAAUAAUUUAAUUAAUAUACUUAAUUUCUUAAAAAAUAAUCAAUUUUUAAUGAUUUCAUUUAAUGUAUAUUUGUUGAUGAUCUUAUAUAUUGUUUUUAAAUAAAAAAAUAAAAAAAUAAAAAAUUGGAUAUAAAUUUUAAUUAAAAGUAAACACUCUUCCUAUUUACAUGUAUUUCGUAUAUUCCAUUGUUAUACAAUUUCAAUAAUAUACUUAAAAAAUAUCUCUCUUUUGUCUACAUUUUUUAAAAUUUUAUUUAAUUUUAUUUUAUAGAGGUAUGAUAAAUGACAAUUUGAUUGAAGGUAUAUUGAAAAAAAUUCUAAAUUUAUGUCUUAGUUUUCCUAUAUUUAUGUGUAAGUUUUUAGUUCAGUGGUCAUAAUUUAGAAAUGAUCAAAAUAUCUAUUUUAAAUUUUUUUCAAAUCAAAAGGAAAUUUUAAACCCUAAACCCUAAACCCCGGACCAAAAGCACGGUCUUCAGUCCUCCCAAGCGCGGUCUUCAGUUCCCCGGGCCCGUGACCGCAGCAAAGAAUGCUGGAGCAAUGAGCCCUUUCCUUUGAGCGUCUGUAUUGUAGCACAGGGUAACAGUCUCGCAACGUCGCUCGCUGGAGCUUCUCCAAUUUUAGGGUCUCUUCGGAGGAGGAUCUUGUGGUAGUACACUUCGUGGGCUGCUGCAUCAAGCGCUGUGCAUUACGAUGAGCAUUACGAUGAGAGCAUUAUUUCACCAUGGUGGAGUUAGUUAGUACGGGAGCGUGACUUGCAAAUAGGCUCACCACAUUGUUGAUAUUUGUCGUGAGGAAAAUCAAGGUGCCUGUUGCGUUUUUUGGUGGACUGGACGGUUGAGUUUCGUGCUGCUUGUUUGUAUUCGGAAGUGGACAUGGCGACAGCCGUGGCUCCCAAGGCGCACCCGACUUGCAUAAACUCAGGGAAUCCGUUUCAUGAGUGCAGCGAGUACUGCUAUCGGAGGAUCGCAGAAGGGCGCACAUCUAACAGUGCUGUUGCUGCAGCUGAUGGUAAUUCUUUGGAGUAGAUUGAGCAGAGUUGGUUUUUCUUAAAUCAAACUGAGCCCUAGCCGGAAUUUUUUUCAGUUUAGGGUUUUCGCUUCAGUAAAUUGCUCUAUUUAUAUGUUUUUAAAACAAUUUUUUUGUAGCAUGGGUUGCUCAGGUGUGUGGAUUCGAAUUUUUCUCAGUCUGAAUGUUUUAUUUUUUAUUUAUUUUUAUUUUGCCGCUUUAGCAUAGUUUGUAGCCUUGUAGGUUUCUUCGUUUUCGUAUUUAGAGUUUUUCAUGUAUGAUUAUGGAGGUUACUGAAUUCUGCUGUUGCAGUGAAACUGUCAGAUGCGGAACUACCUACAUCAUUUGGAAAGGAAGCUGAACCUAGGAUAAUUCUUAGAGGUCGACAUUCAGGGAAUGACGCGGCCAACGUUGAGUCGGAGGUCUCAGAACAGAAUACUACCGUUGUAGUCAAUGAACCAGAGGAUUCAGGAAUUGACCCGGCAGCCUAUGCCGCUAUGACUCCCACCCAAAAAAAGCUAUUUGACUUGCGUUUGAAGCUGGUAAGUAUGUUUCUGCUAUUUCAGCGAUGUUUUAAGAUACUCACAAGCUCUACAUAGGUAAGAAACGUCUUUUUCAGAUCGAUUUUGGUUCUCGACGAUUCAGAAAUGUUUCAUAUCUGUUAGAGGUGCUUCCAGAUUGUUUGUGUGACGCAGUCACUUUCAAUAUCUUCUGCUAGUCCAGUUUUCACAACUGAGUAUAUCUUUUUUAUGAUUUGGAGCCGUCGCGUUUAUCCUCGCAUUUGCUAAUGCUGACAUCGGUUUUUUGGCACAGAACCAGGCACGGAAAGAUAAUCAGCUUGCGAUAAUAGCCGAGAAGAAACGUGAGGAUGCCCCCGAAGAGACUAGAGGUGUUUCUAAGCAGAAGUGGUUUGAGGAGAAGAAGAGAAAGGUAGGAAAGCAACUAGAAGCUAAUGGUCUCGAUAUGUCCAAGGCUUACAUGCUGGACACUCAGGAAGAUGCAGAGGGCAAGUACAAGAAGUGGGAAAAGAAACCUGCACCAUUUGGAUGGGACGGUAAGCUUCAUACAUUCUGUUCUUAUUGCGAAUAUUGUUAUUCAAGGUGUCAUCGAGCUAGUUUUUUAAAACAAUUUUAGUGGAAUAGCAUGAGUUUUCAGUGUGGCUGAACCGAUUUGCUAUCUUCUGGCAGUGUUCAAUCAAAAAUCCUUGUACAAUGGGUAUAAAAAACGGACGAAAAAUAUCGUAGUGAAUCCUGAGGAAUACGCGAAAGCACGUGAAGCAGAUCCCGACUUUUACCGUGAUGGGGCUAGUCUUCAGUAUGGAAAGGUACUGAAUUACCGCCGUAUAACACCGUCAUGACUAUUAUUUAUUACUACUUCAAGUAACAUUUUGUGUUGUGUUUAGGUCUGUCUUGUUAUGUCAACUUUUGCAUGAGUGAAAACGUCGCACUCUCUCAUACACCAGCCUUUUAUUUAUUUAUUUAUUUAUUUAUUUAUUAUUUUGCAUUGAAUCAAUAUUGAUGACAAUGAUGCCUACACGUGAAUUCACUUGAUGGUGAGCAUGUCGGAGUAUUUUGCGAGUCACUACUGAUAUUUAAUUUGUGAUUCCUUUUUCUGUUCAGCAAGUUGAGGUACCGGAAGAGAACAUUGAUAGGAUGGUGAAAGAACUGGAUGAAAGAGGGAAAGCUCGGAAGGAGUUCAGUCGGCGUCGUAAAUUUCAUGAUGAACGGGAUAUCGACUCUAUUAAUGAUCGGAAUGAGCAUUUCAAUCGCAAGAUCGAAAGAGCAUUUGGAAAAUACACUGUGGAAAUUAAGAACAACCUGGAGCGUGGGACUGCUCUACCUGACUGACCAAUCAACGUUUAGCCUCUACUAUAUGAUGGGCUUAUGCCGAAUCGUUUGGUUUCGGUUUUUCAAUGUGGAACAUGAUCAGUCAUGCUCAACAUUCUUGUAUCAUGUUCGGCGGUUCUGCCUGUUUACAUUAAAUUCAGAUUUUCACACUCGUGCAUUGGAAUCCCACAUCAUACUUUGAAACAGCUGCAUUACCUGUUUGGGUGCAGCUUUAUUUGCGUCUGUUUUUACUAGUGGUCUUUGACGAAGCGAGAAACAGUUGCGGAGUAAUGCUGGUUAUGCUGCUUCGAUUCACAUUCUGCGUAAUUCUUUUCGCCUGAAGGUCUUGCUGCACCAGUCUUACAUUGAGCAACAGCUCUAGCUAUUUUGACUUACUUUAUUUUUUCCUCUUCUUUACGUGGAGGCGAAAAACUUAACUCUUUGGAAAGACCAGGAAGGACAGUUGUUGCUAGUCAUCGAAACAGGUUUUGUUGCUGGUGUAUUUGUCAAGUUACUUUCUGUCUGAUGUAGGAAAAUGUGCUUCAAAGGAACUCUGUUUAUUUGUUUGCUACUUGGUGGAUCAUCAAUUGAGUUGUUUCUUGUGUCACGUGUGUGUCGAGCCACUCGACUGAAUCCGUUAUCGCGUCGUCCUCUUCUAUACUGUACGAGCUUUGUUCUGACUCGCCCUCCCAGUUCUCUGAAGACCCUUCAUUGCCUUCAAUCUUGGUAUUGGUUCUGAGGGAGGCUUGCUCAUUCGUUUCUAGAGCAAGUACAUCUGGAGCUUGUACACUCGACAUCCUCAUACUCAUAUUUGUACAGCUUUCUUCAGAGUAAGCCUGUUCUUGGUCGACUUCGCUCUCUUCAUCCUCAAAGCUGUCACCUUUGUAGGUCGACUCUUCACUACUUGUUUGGGGCUUUCUCAGUGAAGAUGGAGUGUGAGUAGGGUCUGGUGCAUCUGGUAUGAAAAUCUUUUCGUCAACUUCUGGCCCUACCACAUAGCAGCACUCCUUUUCAUCAGUAGCAGAAUUGCUGCUCAUAACUUCUGCAUCACUUUGGCCGAUGAUCGAGUUGGCCUUUUCUCCAUUCUGAAACUCAUUUUGCGGUCCAAGUUUCACUAUUUGAUUGUUCCUUAUGGCCAGCGCAAGAAUUGGAUGAUUUUUGAGACCACUCAUCCGAUCCGUAAGUCUCGUACUUUCUUGGUCAACCAGCACUUCCUGCUUUCUCGUUACGAUAGAGGUCCUUGAGUUUUCAAUUGUGUGCGUGUCAUGAAGAGGUAGUUUCGACAGCUUCAUGAGCUCAUCGCCUCCAAGCGAAUCCCACGACACUGAUUGAUUUAGGAGUAGCUGAACUUUAUCUGUUGUAUCCGUUUCUCCUUGAUUUUCCUCAGUUGAUCGAUUUUCUUGACUCGUCUUGUCCUCUUCAAAAUUUAUGAUCUCACUAAUGUUGCCCACAAUCUCACCUGACCGGCUCAGUGAUAGCUCGCUACUCAUCUCAGGCAUCAUUGUCAACUUUUUAGGGAGCCCCUCAAAUGCGUAAUCAAGAGGUUGCUCCUGGUCAAACCUGAUAUGAGAACCUGUUUGUGGCAUACUAUCAUCGCGCAUGGAAAUUUCCUCUAAUGAUUCUAAGUCAUGUUUCAAACUCGACAUACACUUACACGAAAAUGAAUCUCGACUCGAGUCUUCCUCUGAUUCCAGGUUAUCACUUGUGUUUUCCUCCUUUUCGCCCAAAUAUAGACUCCGAGAACUUCCUCUUUCUUGACUUUUUAUGUGCUCAUUGACUUUUUGUGUAUGAGUAACAACCGUGAUACUCCGUACUAUCAAUGUGUCUUCGUCCCCAACGCAAUCACGAUUGACAAAAUCAUGGCUUGUAGUGUUAUCGGUCUCUUGUUUUGAUUCUAAACAAAAUAUCUUACUUUCUAUAUUCUGAAUGUUAGGGGUUUUCUUUUCUAGAAUAUCUACACAUUGAUUCCCGGAGGUGAUUUGGAAGCCAUUCACACCGCUCAACAACUCUUGAUAAUCACAAAUUGCUGGCGGUUUCUCUUCCCAUUGGUGGCUCGCUAUCUCCCAAUGAAGAAUGCUAUCUGAGCACCUGGGGCUGUGGUCAUGGCUGUGGUUCCAUGCGUUUUUUAGAGCUUUACUAGAGCUAAGAACACCAAUGUCGGCUUCACUUGUAUCAUUCCCGAGGUUUGUGACCACGCUCCGCAGAUUGCCCAUUGAUUCCUCGUAGCCGCUGUUCCAGCCAGCAUACCUUUUAUUGUCUGAGCGGUAUGUCUUCCUCCAGCUAGGAACUGCAUCCUCGUAGCUGCUCUCAUCGUACUUUUCUGGAUCCCAAGAUCUCGUAAAAAAUUCGUCAAGGAUGCCAGUUUCCAUGAGCACUUCCGCUUCGGUAGCUGAUGUGUUACCUCCUUUCUCAGCGUUCAUUUUCUUAAAAGUAAUGGAUCUGCAGCCAUUCAUGUCAUUUGGAUCAAGGAUUCUGGCUCCAUCGUUCAUUUCCCACCGCGAUUCCUCAGUGCUCAGAGUGCUUGGCUCUGGUGAAAACCUAGUCCUAGUUCUGCUUAGUUUCCUAGUGUCAUGGUCUGAUUGAUUUCUUGUCUCAACAGUCUGACUCAGUGUGACAUCCUUAUGCCCUCCAUAGUUUGGUUCUUUCAGUAAGCCGUGAUCAUGAAACUCCAAAAUCGGGUAAUUAUACCCUGAAGGAGUAAUUUGGCAUGUUAUGAAUGUCAUAUCACAGCAUCAAAAACACUUGACUGUCAUAAAAUGUCCAAUGUGCUUAUUAGCGAAUUAUUAAAAGACCAUGAAAGAGUUACUGUUAAGUUUGUAACAAAGCGUGUUCAUUUGAGAAUAUUUAUGUAUAAAUAUGUAUCAGAGAAAGUAAUCUGCUACACAUGAACUGAGGAAGGAAACUUACCUGAAGAGAACGACUUUGACAUUGUGGAUAUUGGGACAUGAUUGACUGGCAUGCCAUCAAGAUCCUUAUCAAGAGCAGCUUUCUUGGCUGCAUUUUCUGAAAGCAAUUGCGUCCACAAAUCAUGUGAUUCUCUGUCUGGCUUCUGUUUGCGAAAUCGUGAGAGCACAUUAGAUGAUCGGCAAAAUGUUCAAAAUGUUCGAUAAGUAGACUUCACAUUCAAUGGAUACUGAACAUAAAUGAAAGAUUGUCACGGCACCUUCACUUACAAGUAAUCGGAAAAGAAAAUAUAAUCAGUCUAAUCCGAAAAAUUUCAAGUGCCUGGGUAACGAACAAUACCUUUCGAGAGGAUACCCAUUUCUUUCUCAAGUCAUCAUCGGCACUUAAAUUUUGGUCGAAUGAGUAAUUGUUAAGCUCAAUUUUGGCUUCAGAGGCAAAUUGUCUUUCAGGAGCCACACUGCAAACAUGAAUUGUGUUCAUCAAACGAUUACCAAGAAGCAGUAAAACGAAAAUUUUACAUGUGAUCAGCUGUGACAUUGAAUACUACAGGAACUAAUACACCAGUUUCCACAUAAAUUAUUUCUUAACAGAAUUCAUGUGAUGACCUAUUGUGCUUGAUUUGAUCAGCAUUCACAUGCUGGAACCUAUUUUACUUCGGGCAUGAGCUGUUAUUAUUACUGUUUAUUGAUGGUUACGCGAUUCAUAUAGGUUAACGUGGUAAGAUAGCUAGGUAAGUGACCUACAUAAAUGCUAGGUGAAACAGGGUAGAGAAUCUUUUUUAAUGAAAUUUCUGCUGGAAUCAAAAACUGAACAGACCUGAUAGAAGGGAUACCAGCGUUCACAUGGGACCGCAGUGCACAAUGUUCCAAUCGCUCAGCCUCUAGAGCUAUAGAAAAACAAAGUUUAGCCACCUCAUACUAGAAAUACAUAAGAGAAAUGUGAGCUCUAUAAGCAUAACUCUUAUCUAAAACCUAUCCCGGAAUGAGGACGUUUAUGCAAUGCACAUAAAAAAUUUGCACAGAUUAUCAGGCAGUGGAUACUUGGAGGCUUGCAACUACAUUUUGUACCUUGUUGAGCCUUUCUCAAGGGCGUGGUGGUUUCAAGAACCUCUCUGUUGAGGGACAUUUGGUGAUUUCCAAGUACCUCUAAAUCAUGGAUUGCGUGGUCUUUCUCCUCUUGCUACAUUUACAACCAAUACCAACUGAAGUUGAAUGCAUCUUGAGUAUCAAAAUUAUUCUAUUUGACUUUUAAUUGAAUUUAUUCAUAAAAUAAGCAUUUUGAAUGUGUGGUGUAAGAAUUGUUGAAAAGGACGAUGUGUAUGUAGAGAAUACAGCGUUCUUAAUGAGUGUCUCAAGUUGAUUAAUCUUCAGGAGAAGUUUCUUGUGCCUAGUUGUCAACUUCUCUUUUUCAGCCCCUAAGAGCUGUAGCUUCAUUUCCUGUUGCGAGCAAGACCAUUUUCAGACCAUUAUGCCUAGUAAAAAGGAUGAAGGCACUCAUCUAACAUGUAGAUAACAAGAUGCUGUUAAUUAAAACCCUUCUAUUUCUAUUACCCUAUCCUCUGAAGCUGUGACUUAAUAUACAGGAUAAUGAAACAAUGAUACAGCUAUCUAGCUACUUAAUGGACUAAAAUUUCAAGUUGACAUCUAAAUUUCUAACCAACUAUUAUAACGACUAUUUCAAACGAGUUUGACCUUUUGCUGUAAUUUGUGCUCAAGUGUCUUGUUUGCUUUCUCGCUCUGUUCUCGUUGUAGUCGUUCUUGCUCAAGCUUAACCUGCAUUUCCUGCAAUUGCUCCUCCAAGCUGAAACUAGGGCCCAAGGAACAAAAUCAAAGCUUCAGUAAGUCAUGAUCACAUUACAAGUACACAGAUAGUUUAACAUCUCAAGGGUUAUGGGGUCUCUAAUUAUCAAGAUGGGGACCAUAAUUUUUAAACAUAUUGAAUGACAUUGUGCUACUUCAGCCACCGUCAAUGUAUAACAGAAUUCAAUGAACAAUUGAAAAACACGUGUUAUUUUGGAAGGUGCAACCACACAAACCGCUGAUCUGGAAUGUUGACCACAGAAAUCUUCUGCGUUGUUAUCUCCUCUAAAUGCUUCACUUUCUCCUCCAACUGCAGAUGGUGUGAUUACGUGAAUUUAUAGUACAACAAUGACGGAUGUUGAGAAAGAGUUAGACGAUCGAAGUAUGAGGUAGAGAAACCUCUCUAAUGAUCUUGCUUUUAUUCAACCUCUGAUCCUCGUCUAUACUCAAGCGACGGUGAAGCGCUUGUAUAAGUUCCUUUUCACUCUUUGUCGCCGCAAGCUCAAUAGCCAUGGCAACUUUUUCCUCUUUCAUCUGCUCUCGUUCAGCUGUUCAUACGUCAUACAUACGCGAUCAACACGUAAUGUAAUCCAGAGCUAACAAACCAGUUCACUUUGCACAAUGUAAGGUUGCGGAUCCUCCUUCCACUUUGCAAGAUUAGAAACUGUGCCAAGAAACACUCAGAGUAUAACUUUCAGAACGAGCCAGGCAGAGUUUUAUUAGGUUAAGGAUCAGGUACCUUCAAGAACAUUUCGAUCAUGGUGGAGACGAUCACAGAGUUCCCUAAACUGCUCUUCCAGCUCUUUGCUCCUCCUAUAAUACCAGAACGGUUAACAACAAAAGAAUAUUUUCCAAUUGAUACCCUUUUUGACUACAAUGUAACGCUCAUUCUGAAAAUCUACAAAUUUAAGUCUAGAUAUAUAGUUUUUCUUUUAUGCUCAACUUCUCUUCCAAAUCAUGAUUGACCUUCAGCGCGAAAAGAACUCGCACGUCAUUCGCCAUCCAGAACCUUAUUUGACCAAAAUUAAAUGAAAUACCGUACACUACUAGUUACUUCAAAAGUGAUCUUUCUCUAUGAUACUUGAUACUCCUUAGAUUGAUAUGUGUCACUUUCUACUUCGAUCACAACGCAAAGUUAUAUACAUGUAUCAAAAGCUCCUAUGGCCAUUGUGAAAGGAAAAGUGACAAACGAAGUUGCUAAUUUGUCAGCUUGGUCGUAAAGACUUUUGCGCUCACACGCCACCUCCUCUUCUUUAGCCUUUAGCAACAGCUCCCGCUCGUCCAACUUUUCCUUGCGUCUCUCCUGCUUACAUGUCCACACUAUCAAAAUAGUACUUGAAAUUUACAAAAACUAACAAUACUCAACCAUCAUGAUCAGUUGGAAAUGCAAGAUGACACGAUGGAGUUCUACAUGAUUUAAUCUUUUGAAUUUGUAGGCUCAACCUGCGACUCCUUAAACUGUCUAAGCUUGUUCUCGCGUUCCCGGAGACUGGUAAUUUCGGUCAGUAUUUUUUGACGUUGCUCAUACGCUGAUGCUUCAAUAGCCUGUAUUGUGCACUAGAUCCUUGUCAGAUGACUUUUCGAAGGUAGACAUUCAUCAAUCAUGUAAGCAUACAACAAGGAUGGGCAAAUGAAUCUGACCGAGCAUUUUAGGAGGAAUUACAAAGUACAACCUUUUCUUUGGACAGCACACGCCCAAGCAGAGAUUCUUCACGAGCCUUUACGCGGUCCAUACGGGACUUGUGAAUAUCUUCCAACUCCUCUCGAUCUCUAGCCAAUUGCCUGUACUCAGAGGAGUCAGGUAUAAACACGAAGGAGUACCCUGUUCCU